GUUUGGGACCCCUCCUCAUUUACCUGGGCUUGGGACCAGCUAUGUUGAAAUAGCACAGGCAGAGUCUGAAAUCAAAUGAGAACAAAACCUGAGAAGAGACAUGCAGCGAGGACUGUUGUAUUGUCAACUUCCAAAGAGCUCUGUGACUGUUUGCCAACUUUUGUGCCCUUGGUAUCCUUAUCCUUGCAUUUUUUUUAGAAGUUUGAAUCAUUGCGGGUCAUAACCAGGGUUCGGAAGUCAGAACCGGUUUGGUUAUUGGCCAGCACUGAUUUGCAGGAAAUCAAGUGGGAACUAUUUAUCUGGUGUCCUGAAUCUAUAUUGAGAGAUAUGGUAUGCUGGGAAUUAACUGGACUUUUAAAGAUUCAUUCUGAAUUGGCCAUAACCCUGCUAACUAGCAUCAGUUUGAUAUUGAAACUAUCAGAUUCAAUAUUGUACCUCUCUAAGUUUAGUCCGGAAUCAGCUGCUUCCCACCUAUUUUCUGCAUCAUAGUCAAAAGUCAGAAUAAAGGAUUUGUCCAUGUGACAAACUAGUUGCUAUUUGCUUUGGCAGUCUCUCAAUUCCUUCUGCUACUCUAUCUUUUAUCCUUUCAGGAGGAAAUCCAGAAGAAAACAGGUUAUAUAGUAAGGCGGGAAGAUGGAACAUUUGAUGUUGAUGCAAAUACAUCAAUAGAUCAACUAUCUGAAGAGCUUGGUAUUAAAAUACCAGAGGUAGUGUUUCACAUUAGAUCUAUGUUUUCUCUACAGUAGCUAUGCCUUCCCUUGGCCAUAAAAAUGUGUAUUUAUAAUACUGGACAUGGAUGGUCAUUGAAAUGCAACUUUUGUCAUCAAAUACACUGUAUUUCUAGAAUGCAAUACAGAUAUAGCAUUAUGGAUGUAUUUUUCGACGAAAAUGUAGAGUUAAUAUUUAGGUCAAUAUAAAUAUUCUCAAAUGUUCUUUAGUAGAAUAUGCCCUUGGCAGUCAUCAUAUGGUGUCUCUGUAGUUUUCUCGUGGUUCUUUCUUUUAGAUUGAUUGAUAUGCUGAGACACUUGGAAACCAUCUAUUUGCAGGGCCAUCACUAUGAGACGGUAUCUGGUUUUGUCUGUGCAUCUUUUGGCUAUAUUCCAGAAGAAGGUGCGAAAAUGCUUGUGAUUCUUGAAAAGGAUUACAGAGAAGAAAAUGUGGAAUAUCAGGAGGAAGGUUCUGAUCGCCAAGAUGAUAGAGAAAAAACUCAAGCUUAUGAACUUGAGGUAAUAACCAUAAUCCGUUGUCUACUCUGUUUGCUCGGAGUUGUGGUACCAGGUCAUCAGUACCGCAAUGUAGCUAGCAUUAUGAGAUUAUCUUGUUACCGCUACAAAUAUUCCACUAGAAACUUGCUAGUGUAGCUGAUAUUGUGAGUUCAUAAUUUAAAAAAAUUUACUUAAAGCUUCAUGUUUCCUUGUUAGAUGCAAUGCCCUAAAACAUGUUUGGUAAAAGUUGAAACAACUUUCCCACUAGAAACAUUUUUCCAUAUAUACUUAAGAAGUGUUGCCUAGGAGAUUUUGUCUAUAAUAAAUUUUCAGAAGGACCUGGACUGGCCACAUUGAUUUAGGAUAUUUAUCAUACCAAGAAGUAAGAACCUGCUGCUAUAUUCUAUUAUUCAACAUUGUUCUGCAUGCUUGGAUCGUGCAUAUAAAAUUACAAAAUACUCAGAAGGUUACUGAAACACGUGUGCUCUCCACUUAGGUGAUGUACUACUCUUGUAUCUGUACAGGCUUUCAUUUGAAACUGGAGAAAAUAUUUAAGACAAAAACUAACCGAUGAAAAAAAUCACUGCUAAAUUGAGAACACAUACAGGUGGUUGUUUCAGUAAAUUUGGCCUUGCACAAUACCUUAAUUAGUGAUGCAACUCCCAUUUUCCAGAAGCUUUUUUUACAGUUCACAUGAUAUGUUGCAGCCCUAGAAACCCAGAGCGUUGGACCUCACUCUUUUCUAUCUAUAUUGUAGAGUGAUAGAUCAAUUAUUUUCAUUUCUGUAGCCGUUUUUACUGGCUUUUUAACUUACCUGGCCUCUCUUGCAGAUACUGGAAGGUAAUGCAAGGAAGGUGGGUAAAGUCCUGUUCAAGCCAAUAAGCAGUGAGUGUGUAGAUGUGGAUGACAAGGGGGUGAACCGUCUGAUUUCCAAGAAGAUCAUCAAACGGAAGAAGAAAGACUCUGGUGAUCCCUGCAACAGUGAUGACGACGAGUGUCCAGACAUUACAGAGAAUGGCUGCCCUGCAGAGAUACUCUCACAUUCGGAUGAUAACAGUGCCGAAUUGGAAGAUGCAAGCAGUUCUAGUGCAAAAAGAUGACCAGAAAACAACUCCCAAGACCAUCGUACUACGGGUAAUAAUUACAGCUCACCAUCACCCCUCCUAAUACCCCUUGUUACAACAGAAGAGAGAAACAUAGUAGUAGGCUACCAAAAAAACAGCGAGGGCAACACUGAUGAGACUGGCAAGGUUAACAGCAGCUUAGGGCGUUGCAGCAUUUGUUUUCCAGUAGCAGUAGCAGCAGCAGUCUAGAGGUGCAGCGAGGUGUCGACGUCGACUUCACCAGGGACAUGCUUGGAGUUGUAGGUCUUACUAGGCCACAGCUCCACCGCAAUGGGGUCGCCGCGGAGCUGGAAGCUUUUGCAUUCGCAGGCAGUGGUCGGCACGGCCGGGAAUAAGGCGGCUGCGGUGACAGCGGUGUCGCGCAGGGGCCUGCACGGGUAGAGCAGCUCCGGGUGGAAGAACCACUUGACCGGCAUCUCCCUCUGGGCGGCGGUGGCGGUGGCAGCAGGGCGGGGAGCGAGCACGUGGAGAAGCCUCUCCUCCCGCUUCUCCCUGAUCCUCUCCAGCUCCCUGAACCGCUGCUGCAGCAGCGCGAUGGAGGAGGAGAACGUCACCUGGCCGUCGCUGCUCUGCACCCCCAUGAUGGCUGAGAAGUGAGAAGAGCCGAGCUCAGCUCAGGAACAGCUGCUCCCUCUGAGUUUCCCGUUUGUGUGUGUACGUGUGUGUCUGUCUACUUCGCCGGGUGUGUGUGGGGUUUGUUGUUCGAUGAGGGGGUGGUCGUGGGCAUGUGCGUAUUUAUAAGCCGCAAAGUUUUGUCACGGCGCAGGUCGUCGCCUUGUGGUCGUCUUGCAAGCUGUGGGGCGUAAUUCUUCUUUCUUCCAUCAUGUGAUGCCGUGCUAUCUGCUAUGCUUUUUUUCCCCCUGUAAGACUGCUAUCAGCUAUGUUAUGGGCUGAUUGGAAAACGCUACGCUACACCGCUAUAUGAGAGAGAAUCUGGGAGGGGAAGGGAAUGUCACGUCGCCCGAGAAAGGAAGUGGGAGGCGUGCAGGUGAGAGAGAGUCCAAGGAAGCGGGGCCGCGCGGACGCUUGCGCUUGUUGCGUUCCCGCGGGCGGGAAUCGCCUUGUGUGUGUGUGUGUGUGUGGGUGUGGGGGGGGGGGGGGGGGGGGGGGGGNNNNNNNNNNNNNNNNNNNNNNNNNNNNNNNNNNNNNNNNNNNNNNNNNNNNNNNNNNNNNNNNNNNNNNNNNNNNNNNNNNNNNNNNNNNNNNNNNNNNGGGGGCUGGCCAUGAUUGCGCCCCCUGUUUGUCUGUCACCUUUUUUCCUGCGCUCCUCGCACCCACUAUUUCACUUGUGCGCUGCUGCAGUCUAGCCUGCCUGCGGCAGGGCAGGGGAGACGGCCGCAUGCCAUGCCCUGCCGCUUACUCUGUUCCAAUUCCCUCUCUGUAAUCGAACGUCUGAACGGGCAGAUGGAUGCUGCACGCUUUUCUAUAGUGGCGUCGCUGGGGCUCGGUACUACUGCCUCGGUUGGUUUCUAGUAGGACCUGUAGUGUCCUCUUUGAAAAAGAAAGCAAGUAUGGUGUAGGGUUAGCAACUGUGGCGAACCUGCCACGCCACAUAAGCGCUAGAAAUCUAGCGGCACUUUCAGGUGUGGCAACUGUGCGCUCCAUGAGCCCAUGUCUUCGAUCGGCUGUGUGAACGUGUUCGCGGGUCUGGGAGCAGAAAGUCCGCGUUGAACUUUGCUUCUUUUGGUCUUGACUGACUGGAGCGUCGAACGAUCCGGGUGCGAGUGCUUGCUAGCACGUGGUGUAAAUUGGAGUAGCGUCUCGGGGGGAAAAGGAGUGACACUGAAACGGCGUGUUGCUUUAAACAUUCAGAAAAGUUGAUCGAUCGGUGUUCCUUCAAGAGCACGUAAACAGUCAAUGGAUCAGUAACAGCUCUUUCACGGGAUUGGGAUGCGUGAACAGUCAUCGAGAUAUUGUUACAAAUAAUUGCUGUUUUCUAAGGGGGAAAAAAACUAGAAAGAGAGCUGCCAAUUGUGUACUAGAAAGAAGCACUGACUUAUUAGUAGUACAAUGGCCUCAAAGGGGGCAAGGCAACAAAGCAAUCACAACAACCACAAAAAUGGCAAGAGAAACUAUCUACUGCGGCUGAUCAGCCAGACAGCCACGCUAGAAACGCGCAGCACAAUCUACCACACCACCCCCCGGUCUUUGCUCUAGGCUUGCCACCGAGAAGGGUAUGGAAAAAACCAAUCUUGUUCAUACUCAAAUUCAAAUAUAUAUUAUCCAAUCAUCAUCCUCCCGUUCUCACCCAUAUCCAAUGGAUAAUUAAUUUUAUACUAGAUACUAUGUAUAUCUAAUGGAUAAAUUGUACUCUCCCUAUACCCUACCCUUCCCAUUUCUAAUGGGUAUAUAAUUUUCUACUCCUUCCCAUUUGAGCUGGAUGUGGAUUUGGGUAUGAAUUAUGGAUACACAGCAACAGGUCUACUUUGCUCCCCUGGCGUCCAUCCCACCACCACACCCACCGUUGUUAUUCCCUCCAUCCCAAAAUAUAGUUGUUUUGAAUUUUUUUUUAAUAUAUUGCUUUUGCUAUGCAUCUAAGGCCCGUUUGGAUAAUAUCUGGUAGCUGAUUUUAUGGAUGUUUGGUGCCUUUUAUGCCCUUGAUGAGGAUGGGAGUUCUACUCAAUUGUGUGGGCAAAAUGGUAAUUUUGCUGUCCAGUAGCUGCUGGAAGCUAACCCACUCCAUCUCCUAGGAUUUUGAGAAUCAUAACAUCUAGCUUCUGGAAUCUCCACUAGAAUCGGGUCAAUUUGGAAGCUGGUCAGCUCCCUGCUUUUGGAUUCUCAAAAUCUGACUAUGUCCAAACAGCCCUAAAUAUAAGUCAUGUCUAAAUACAUAGUAAAAAUUAUGCAUCUAAAAAUUCUAAAACGACAUACAUUUUAACAAUAGCCGAUCACCGUGUGCAAGCUGCAGCUUCAUUAUCCCUGUAGGGCGAAGUCACGUUAUCUCUCCCUGGUGCAUGUAAAAUUGUAAUUUACCAUUAAUUAGGCUCAAAAUUACCAUAUAAUCCUAGGAAAAAUUAGGAGUCCCUUAAGCAGUGCACCACGUGGCUUCGCUGCACCGUCGGUCUCUGUCGUCGUUGCUACCAAAGGUUAUAAGUGAAACCCGAGACUACAACAGAAUCUUGUAAAACUUCAUAGUCAGGUCAAUCCGCGCAUUGUUUUUUAUGAAUUUUUUUGGAGCGUACUUAAUUUAGAGUAAAUUACACAAGACGCAAUGUAUUGGAGCUAUAUAUAUUGUUCAUUUGCAUAAGGUUUAAGCAUUUGUUGCACCUUGCACCAUGGUUUUAGUUCAAAGAAUUCUACCUUUUGCACCACAUGUAUAAGCUUCGAGAGUGGCCUUUGACCUCACAAGUAUGCUGGCGUUAAAACAACAUUGUGUGUUUUGUGUAAUUAUAAUUCAGUCCUUAGUUUAUCCUUUUUAUGAUAAAAAAAAAAUGCUUGUCCCAUACGCAUGGGCAUGGUGGUAAGUUGAGUUUAGUAUUACGUGCAGUUAACCUACAGAAGCUUGGUAGCUGAGCCUUAUCUAGCUCUAAAUUAACCUUUCAUGCAUCCAAACUUACUUGGAGCCUUGUGACCAUCUCUUUGUUUGUCGUGGAAUGGUUAUUAGCCAAUAGCAGGCCAUAAUAUCCAACCAUGUACUGCUAAUUCCCUGCUACGAUCCUGGCCGUACGUACCAAACCUUUCCAUGCUCCAACAAUAUUUUAAUUCACUGCGGCUGCCGCUUCUAUUCCUGGCCUUCAACUUGGCUGCACCUUGCAGAGAGAAGAUGACCAUGACCAUAACAGUAACAAUUUAAUAACCAUACUCACCUUAACAUUCUAGAGAGAGAGAGAGUGGGGGAGUAUGUUGGAGGUAAUUUUUUUGAGCUAGCAAAGAUUGAUGGGAGCGAGUAAUUUUCUAAAGGCAAGCAAAGCAGGCUCGAAAAAAAGGAGGAAGACUGGUGAUAGGGCAGCGGUGUGGGUAGAAGCUACUAGUUUAAGGACAUCCCGUUGUCGCGGAGCCGGUGGAGGCGAGCGGCAUGCGUGCGCCUGCAGAGCAUUGCGAUCGUAGCAGCAGCGCAGCCUGAGCCUCCGCUCCCUCAUGUCUCCAUCGGUCACUCGCGCGGGCUCUGUGCGUUUGGUAGCUGCUGGUGUUGGGGUUCGGUUGCUCCGGUGUGUUUGGUUUGGGAUUGGGUUGGAACGUGUUCGACCUACAUUGACCUGUGUUUAGUUGAAAAUGUAUCUGGGUUGGGUUGGAUCAGGAGAAAAUAUUCCUCCUAUAUGCGUGUUGGUUGCAUUCCUCGAAAUUGGUCGGACCACACCGACCCAGUUCUUCUCCGUUGGCUUGUCCUUUCCUCCGUCAGUGGCGCGGGGAAGAGGAGGAGGAUGGCACGGUGCCAGCCAAGACGAGGAGGAUGGCGCGGCGUCGGCCACCUAGGGAGCGCCGCGGCCAGCCGGCUCUGCCUAGGGAGCUCCGCGGCCAAUCGGGCAGCACGGGCUCCGCCCAAGCGAGCUCCGCUACUGGGACGAUGGGCGUGGCUAGCGGGGAGCAGAGGCGGGGCCUGCAGGGAAGGAUGAGGCGGAGCCGGCGAUGUCGGCUGGGCACCCUCAGGCCCACCAGAAGACUUGUACGGACCCGAUUAGGGGAACGUACCCGAAACCUUCUCGGACAUGAAGACUACUCUGCAGGACGCGUAGGCUUCAUGGACCCCCGAAGACUAGUCGGGUCCAAAGGAAACUACUCUACCGAGUUAGAGUAGGACUUUGUAAUGUACUCGACUAGGACUCCUGCCCUGUAACCCUGCUCCCCCGACUAUAUAAGGGAGAGCAGGGAUCCCCUCCAGACAACAAGUGCAACUCAACACAAGUUCAAUACAACCAACAUACAGGACGUAGGGUAUUACGUGAUCUAGCGGCCUGAACCUGUCUAAAUUGUGUUCCUUGCAUCACCAUCGACUCCUUGAUUCUCGACGACACCCACCACACAAAAGACCACCUUGGGUACUCCCUAGGCGGGUUGCCGGUCUAAAACACCAACAGGUGGGGAAGAAUGGAGCAGAGGCAAGUGGAGGCUCGGGUGGAGAAUGAGGAGGAAGAUAAGGCAGGAGAAGAAAAAAUAAUACAAGAGAAUGACAAGUGGGCCCCACUAUUGACAUGCGGGCUUCACAAUUUACUGUUGCUAACGGUAUUAAAAUAGCAUCCAUCCUAACCCUCUCAACCUCUCCAUCCAAACAAAAAACUAGAACAGACCCAUCCCUCUAAAUCAAACAAGAGAUAGGUUGAACCCAACCCAGAAAAGUGGGAUGGACCCAACCUAUUCCACUUAGUCCCAAAACCAAAUAGGGGUGAUUGGUUCGCUGCAUGACCCUCCGUUUAGGCUCCACGCAUGCGAGCUCGACUCGAGCUAAUUGGUUACCUAGGUUACUGUUGGGCCUAGCCCGCUGCAUGCAAAAAGGGUCCCAGAGCCUGACUCCUGGGGUGCAGCUAGAACCUUCAUUUCCCGGAGCCAGGCUCGCGUGAUGCGGCGGCGAGCGUGCGGGGGGCGAAAACUAGAUGCGCGUGUGCACGUGGGAAGGUCUAGGGUUACCGCCCCGAUUUCGCGCCAUCCGCCACCCAUAAAUCCUCACCGCUCUCUCUUCCCCUCACGCACUCAUCAUUUUCAUCGUCGCCUAGCAGGUGAGAGCCUCACAUCUCCGAUUCGUCUCCCCUUCUCUAUUCCUCUCCUCUCUCGGUUAAUAUGUGCAGGCUCUAAUCUGUGUUCCUCUCCCCUUUCUUUCUUUUGCAGGGUAGAGUUCUUCACGAAUCUGUGCUGCAAGGUAAGUGAUUUCUCCACUUCUCUCUAAUUUUUCUCUUUUCCUUAACCCUAUACUAUGUGAAAGGUCAUCGAUUCCCUUACUUAAUCAUCUCAAAUAUGCAGCCCCCACUAGAUCUGCGUUGUGGUUGUUUAAAGGUAAAAAUCAUACUUUUGUGGCCUUGGAUCUCGAUUUGUGCUGCCGUGUACUUGUAUUUCAGAAGCAAGAUGAGUAAACGAAGUGUAUUUUUGUGAAGGAUUUCAAAUCUAACUCUCCUCUACCUCUACAUGCUGCUGAUCUGUUCGUUGACUGGUUUUCUAUUGCUUGUGUUGCGGUAAAAAAAAAGCACUUACCCCUCUUCCCAACUCCUCUCUUCAAAUCCUGUGGUUGCGCAUAUAUGACUAUACGGUGCUCUAAAUGAUUUUUCUGUGAUGGAAAUGAUGAUGGAUUCGUAUUAUUCAUGGUUGAUGGCAACUCUUAUUCUGAGCAUACAUGUCCAUGCUGAUGAUUUGUGCUAUUUAAUCUGAGCAUAGUUGUCCAUGCCAAUGAUACCUAUGAUAUUAAUAUGAGCACACUUUUCCAUGUCAAUGAUGCAUAUGAUAUUAAUUUGAGCGCACUUAUCCAUGUCAACGAUGUCUGCUUAUAUUAAUAUGAGCAUACUUGUCCUGUUAACCAUGCCAUUUGUGCAUUUUUGUGCAGACAAUAAAGGCUAUGUUACUUGUUAUUUAUAUAGAUGGAUCUUGAAGACAAGAGUCACUGUCAUGUACGCAUUCUUCCUAAAUAGGAUUAGAAUGGGUCAAUGCUCAUGACCUCGGAUUACUUAUACCCCAAUGAGUGAUAUGGAUGAGGAACGACAAAAGAACUUGGAUAAAAUUUAUAAUUGCAACGAUGUAAAGUGUGUAAACAUGCUUCGCAUGAGAAGAGCUCCUUUCUAUCAGCUAUGCAAUUUGCUUAGGGACAGAAACUUGCUUAGAGACAGCAUACAUAGCAGUGUAGAAGAGCAAGUUGCAAUGUUUCUUCAUGUUGUUGGGCAUAACCAAAGAUUUCGAGUUAUACACCAAAAUUGAAGUAGGUUUGUAGAGACAAGGAGUAGACAUUUCAAAGAGGUGUUGUAUGCUAUUGGUGAACUUAGGCAUGACAUGAUAUGAUUAAGCCUCCAUCAAAAUGAGACACCUCUUAAGAUCAGAAACAGCUCAAUAUGCUAUCCAUAUUUUAAGGUAAUAAAAUACUCAGUCUUACAAACAAAUGCUGCAUACUUGGGUGCAUAUUUUGUAACAAAAAUUGUUGGGUUUCAUAUAGGAUUGUGUUGGGGCAAUAGAUGACACGCAUAUCUAUGCUAGAGUCCCAUCCAAGAUGCAAUCAACAUUUAGGGGUAGGAAGCACUACCCCUAAAUGUGCUAGCUGUAGUUGAUUUUGAUAUGAAAUUCACAUAUGUCUUGGUUAGCUGGGAGAGAUCUGCACAUGAUGCCACCAUUCUAGCUGAUGCACUAGAGAGGGAUAAUGGGUUAAGAGUUCCACAAGGUAACGAACUUAAUUGGUUACAUAAAUUAAAUCACAAACUAAAUUACAUUAGGACUAAUAUGUGUUUAUACUUUUUUAGAAAAUUCUAUCUAGUAGAUGCUGGAUAUACAUGUCGUCCUGGAUUCCUUCGUCCUUACCAAGGGACUAGAUACCAUCUAAUGAGUUUGGUGGUAGACUAUCCAACCAAUCUAAGGGAGUUGUUCAAUUUGAGACAUUCAAGUUUGCAUGUAACUGUUGAGAGGGCAUUUGGGGCUUUGAAAAAUUAGUUCCGUAUUAUCGACAACAAACAAUUUCAUCCAUUCAAGACUCAAGUCAAAUUGGUACUUGCAUGUUGCAUUUUACACAAUUGGAUACUUGGGCAUGGAACAGAUGAGGUUAUUCCAAUUGAGGCCACUUGAGAGCCCAACAACAAUGGCUCUCAUGGGCAUGGGGUUGGCCUUGAUAACAACUCAGCAUGAGCUACAAUGAGGGAUGAUGGGCUAAUAACAUGUGGGUGAAUAGGGUCACGCUCACAUCUAGUUUCAUGUAGUAGGAUAUUGCACUAUGUAUUCUGGAUUUCGCACUUUGUACUUUGCUUUCAUUUCUAGACAAGUUGCUGUGAUGAUUAUUUAAUUCCACUUUUAGUGCAGUGACCCUGAUGACCUGCUGGUGGCUUCUUCUGGUGGCCUUGUGCUGUCCUGGUGGCUUAUUCUGUGCAGUGAGGAUGAUUCAGUCAUAGUGCCCUUUUGCGCAUAUCAUGUAAUCCUACAUUCUUUUAUGCAAAUCAUCUGAUCGUGCCUUCAAUUGCGCAGUUGAUCUGGUCCUGCCUUUUGUGUAGCUAACUUGCUCUCUCAUUUGGUAACUAUAGACUAUAGUUAGUAAUUGACUAUAUAUGGCACAAUAGUUGUUGCUGUCUAUUCUACUAUGUUUACAUUUGUAACUAAGACGUGUGCUUGAGACGCUUUCAUGGAUGAACCUUGAUGGUGUGAAAUCAUGACAACCUGAUCAUGUUUUUAUUUUAAUCUGAGCAUGUGUCCAUUCUUAUGAUGUGGUACUACUAUUCUGAGCAUAUGCCCAUUGCCAAUGAUGAUGCAUUCUAUAACUUUUUAUCCAGCUAUUCUUGUUGCUGUGUUGACUUAUUUGCACUCUUUUUCCCUAUAUUUUCUUUGUACCUAAUAACAUCUCAACUUGAUUUGAUCUAUCCUGAGCAUAUCUGUCCAUUGCCAAUGAUGCUAUGUUUUUUUUGCAGCUAUGGCUUGGUAUGUAGUAACUGUUGGGCGCCAAACUAGAGUUUUCUCCACCUGGAAGGCGUGUCAUGCUCAAGUGGAUGGUUUCAGGGGAGCAUGCUACAGAAACUGUAAGAUGAGAGGAAGCAAUGGCAGCAUUUUAUGGUAAGAAAAUUGAACCAAGAGAGGAGCAUGCUACAGCUGAACCAAAGUUGAAGAGGGUCGUUUGGGAUUUUAAAGAUGCAAUCAUACUAUUAGAGGCUACAGUAAUAUUAGUUCUUGCAGCUUUGCAAAUUUUCGUAAUACUUAGUUGAAAUGUAAUGUUGUUUGAGCCUCAGGGGCAUAUGGUGGUGAGGGCACUCCCAAUGGAAUAAACCAUCGUAGUUUCCAUUGUCUAGGAUAUUGUAUCAAGAAAUCAUCCUUCACAAUGCAAUUUUUUUAUCUAGAGUCUAAAUAAAAAUCCAACCAAUCAUUCUCCUUCUAGUACCAGAUCCUCUAUGCAUCAUGUAAAGGAGCUCGAGUGACGGGUAGCAGCGGUGCAAGCGCAAAGGAUCCGGCGGUAAGCAAGAAGAAACUACUUGGGUCUCCCCAAUGCAUAUUCGUUGGUUUCUUGGCCCAUCGGUAUACGUGAGGACGUGAUUUCCUCUCCAGAAAAUGGUUUCUCUCUCUCCAUAAUAAAUCUCCUGCCACGUCAGCAAAUUAUUUAGUUAGCAUGAUAAUUAAGAGGGAUAGAAACUAUCAUCAAUGUCCCAUUGGAACUGCCUGACCAUUUGCAUGCAAGAGGUGGCUGUAACAUUUAUAUUGCAUCUCUCUUUUGAACUGUGAGUACAACAGUGCAACCCAUCGGUAUCUUGCAUACGCAUGUGUGGUCUGGCUGACAUGAAACAAGUACAAAACAUACGCAUGUUGCAUGCGCCGAGCCUGUCCCUGGUGCGAGCCAGGCUACGCCGGGAAGGUAACCAAUCAGACCCUAAGGGUGUGUUUGGUUUUAGGGUCGAAGUGGGUUGGGUUGGAGCCGACCCACUUCGACCCAUGUUUGGUUGGAGAGGGUGGGGGUUGGGUCCAACCCAGUAGAGGAAUAUUCCUCCAAGAUCCGGGUCGAGAUGAUCCCUUGAAAUCGAGCGGACCAUCUCGACCCACUUGCACGGCGUCGGUCUCCGUUCGCGGGCGAGGCGCGCCUGGAUGCCGCUGCGGCCGCUCGAGCUCCGUGGGAGAGGAGGAGGCGUGGUGCUCUGGCCGAUGGCGGGGAGGGGGCGCGGGCGGGGAGGUGCCGCGGAAAGGAGGGGAGCUGCCGUGGGGAGGAGCCAGGGUGGGGCUCCAGCCGGCGGCGCGGGGCGUUGGUGGCCGGCCGCGAGGCUCGGGCCGGCGCGGGGCUUCGGCCAGCGGCGGGGGACGCUGGCGGCCGGCCGUGGGGCGCAGGCCAGCGGCGGGGAGAGCAGGGGCCCGUGGCGGGGAGGGGGCGCAGGCCGGCGGCGGGGAGGGGGCGCAGGCCUGCAGCCGGCGGUGGGGAGAGCAGGGGCCGGCGGCCGGGCAGGAGGAGCGCGCCAGGAGGAUGAGCAGGAGCGGACCGUGAGGGAGGAAGAAGAAGAUAAGGAAAAAAAGAGAGGCUGACAGGUGGGCCCCGCAGCUGACAGGUGGGGCCCACAACUAACGGUGUUAAAAAGACAUCCACCCAACCCUCUCAAUCUCUCCAACCAAACAAAAGACUGGGUUGGCUCCAACCCACUCAUCCAAACACGGGAUGGGUCGGCUCCAACCCAUAAAAGUGGGUCGGCUCCAACCCAACCCACAUCAUCCCAAAACCAAACACACCCUAAAGCGCCGCCCCUUCUCUCUCGUGCAUGCCUAGCUAGCCACCGCCCCUCUCUCUUCAGUCUCUCUCUCUAAGCUGUCGACAUGCUUUCACGGCCGGGCGAGGGGGGCACAGUCUCCGGUGCAAGCCAACACUUGCUAGAGGACGAGAAGUCGAAAGGGAAAGGGGAAAAGAGUUGCUCCAUCAACGUGCAUCUUUAUUUCUUUCUGUCUGCUGUCAUUUUGACUGCUGCGCUAUAUAUACAUGAUGUACUACGUGCGCGCUGCUAUAAUUAUCUGCUGAUUAUUAUGGGCUGUGAACUCUGUAGAGAUUAAUUUGCUAAUAAUUAUCUGCUCGUUGGAGUUUCCCGUACAUGUCUCCGUUUCAAAUUGCAUGUAAUUCUGGUUAAGUGAAAACGAUCUACAAUUUGGAGCGAAAGAUCUCCAAAUACUCCGUUUCAAAUUGCAUGUAAUUCUGGUUAAGUGAAAACGAUCUACAAUUUGGAGCGAAAGAUCUACAAUUUGGAGCGAAAGAGUUGGGGAAUAGAGGAAAUAGCUGAUGAUUAUUACCGUGUUCCAAAGGUGACCUACAAGGAAUAAUAUACUUUUUUAUGUGUCAAUUUGUCUAGUUUCGAUCAAUAUAUAGCAAAAGCCGUAACGCACGCAAGUGCACAUCUUGCAUGCAAUUGUGCCGUACACGGAGAAAUGACACAUAUAUAGUAAAGUGUAAACCUAAAAGCCCCUCGCUUUAUAAAAAGUGAAACUAAAGGUGAUGGAUAGUUUUUUUUAUAAAAAAAUCGUGAUGGAUAGUUUUGUUCGUGUCUCGAGGAGGAUGUGUCCUAGUUGGUGGGGGAGUAUCUAGGAAAAUUUGCAUCCAUAGACCAUGCAUGGCUGCUGAGCUGAUAAAAAAAGAUGCGGCACGUACCUCCAUUGGGAUGCUUCUGCCUGCAUGCCUGCGUGUGGCACUGUGUGUGAGGUAUGCAGUGCAGCUCUCGGUAAGGACACUCCGCAAGCUGCCCAACCCUAUCCGAACUGUACCUCAUGUGGCGCAUUAGGUUAGAGAGAGAGAGUCAGAGAGAUAUGUGACCUGUAGCUCAUGGCGCAUUAGGUUUGGAAGAGAGAGAUCAGAGAUCUAGCGGGGUUGUUUGUUCCUGCGUUGUGUCGUCGUCCCACAACCGUACAUGCGCUUCGUGUUGACAGGUGCCCGGCUCUUCCUUUGACCACGCAUGCGGGGAACGUCUACGUGCUUGUCCUGUUUGCUUAGACAAUGAACACUUGCAUGCAUGAUAUGGUGUGAGCUUACAUUUGUGUAUACUAUAUGUUCAUGUCAUGGACCACCAACCAACUAGUGGUUAUGCAUUAGAAAUUUUGUUAGACGACCAAACCAUGCAUGAAUUUAUGUAUACGUGCCACAUCCUUAAUCACCGAUUGUUUCGGCUGGGGAGAUCCACUCUUGACUCACCGAAACCACCAGGCUUACCCAAAUUUCCAUUUCACAAACGGAAACAUCCAUUCUUUAGUUGUUCCUUUUUUUUACAGGGAAAAAGGGUUAAACGAGAAGAGAGGUAGGUUCAAAAGCAUCGAUGAUACCUAAUAAAAAACCUGUAGCCUAGCUGAGAAAACGAGCGAGCUGAGGCUCCUCGUACAGUAUGGUACAACCAGCAGGUAAAAAACAGAACAAGCCAUAGGCAAAAUGAAUUGGCUGUUCAGCCGAUCCAUCUUUUUCCUUGCAGUGUUUCUAGUCCAUUGCUCCUAUCUUCAAUAUCAACUGCGUCGUCUUCUUCAGAAGAUGGCUCUCAGUCACGGUGAUCAGCAGGGUUUCGAGAAGGAUGGCCCGCGGGCCGUGGUCAUCCGGCAAGUGACGCCAAGUAGUAGGCCGGCGCCCCCUCAAGCAUCAAUCACCUCACGGCCCAAUAUCGUAAGAAGCGUACAAAGAAUUUCACAAAGAGGGUGCUUUAUUAGUUUUUUUUAAUCAAACCAUGCUCUGUUUCGCAUACAGCAAUGUAAGUACAACCAUCUAUAUAUUUGAAUCAUCUUAUAAAUUUAUUAUGAGUUCUCAUCAAAAGUAUUUUAAACGUCAGGUGCUCGCAAAGUAAAUGUUUCAACUAUAUACAUGCUCAACUAGUCAUAUAGCUACCGAAUUCGCUAUACCUCUGAGAUCUGUGUUUCUUGUAGGGUCAAAAAUAGAGGAAAACGUGAUGUAAGACGAGGUAUGGUAAACUAUGCCUGAAUUUUAGUGUCUCUAAAAUGCAAUGUCAUCACUCUCUACUUUCUUUGUUUGAGAAAAAACAACGUUGUUGCGUGCACGAGUGUGUCCCAUGAGAUAACUAACUGAAGAUCGAUCUGACAAGUGACGGUUCACUCACGAAUGGUACACCGUUGCAUUGAUUCAUCAUCAGCUGACAUACGCAUCUGUGCUUAGUUUACAAUAAUUUUACAUCGUCGGGCACGUCCAGGCAGCUGCUAGCUGGUCUGGUCUGGUCUGAUCUGAAGAGCUCACGAGCACAAAGCAAUACGCUGGCGCGUGCAACUACUACACGCCUACUCACGAGCAGAGGGCACAUCACUUGCCGGGGACGAAGUUGGUGGCGUACGCCCAUGCGUUGUUGGCGACGGGGUCGGCGACGUGGUCGAAGAGGUUCUCGAUGGGUCCCUUGCCGGUGACGAUGGCCUGCACGAAGAACCCGAACAUGGAGAACAUGGCGAGGCGGCCGUUCUUGAGCUCCUUCACCUUGAGCUCGGCGGCGGUGUCCGGGUCGUCGGCGAGGCCCAGCGGGUCGAAGGCGCCGCCGGGGUAGACCUUGUCGAGUCCCUCCCCGAGCGGGCCGCCGCCGACGCGGUAGCCCUCGACGAAGCCCAUGAGCACGACCUGGCAGGCCCAGAUGGCCAGGAUGCUCUGCGCGUGCACCAGGUUGGGGUUGCCCAGGUAGUCCAGCCCGCCCUCGGAGAAGAUCUGCGCGCCGGCCUUGAACCACACCGCCUCGCCGAACUUGACGCCGUUCUUGGCAAGGAUCUCCGGGAACACGCACCCCAGCGCGCCGAGCAUGGCCCACCGCGAGUGGAUCACCUCCAGCUCGCGGUUGCGCGCGAAGGUCUCCGGGUCGGCGGAGAGCCCCGCGGUGUCCCACCCGUAGUCGCCGGGGAACUCGCCGGUCAGGUACGACGGCGUCUGCUCCGAGAACGGGCCCAGGUACUUGGGGCGGUCAGGGCCGUACCUGCACGUACGUAGCUGAUGAUGCGUCGUCCAUGGAUCAAUCAUCAAGAGACAAAAGCAACUGACGAUGAGCAUGCACGUACCAGAUGCUCUGGGGAGCGCUCUUGACGGUGCGGCGCAUGGUGAUGCGGCCGCCGGCAUCGGCGGCGGCGGCGGGGCGGGAGACCAGGGCCUGGCCGAGGAAGCUGGUGGUCUGGUGGAGCGCCGACGCGGCCAUCUUCUGCGUGUCCGGUGAGCACGACGGCGCUGCUGCCUACUGGUCAGUGAGAUUGUUUUCGGCUGAUCGAGUGGUGGGAAUUGCCGGCGAGGGAGGAGGAUCUUUAUACGGACGCCGAUUGGCGCGCGGCGCGAUCGACUGGUGGUCAAGCGGCGCGCCACGUCGGCGCCGAGCCCAUUGGCUGCCGCCGCGCGCCGCUGGAUAUCGCGCGCCCGGGCGCCCAAUGGCCGGCUGCCAGGUGGAGGCAAGGAUCGCCUCGCCCAAAUCCAACGCUAUCUGGACCAAACAGCUCACGCAUCGCACUCGCUGAGUCGCUGUGCCACGUGUAGAGUACUAUGUCUCUGCGUACUAGCCGUUGUGUUUUGUUACUCCUCCUUCCCUCUUGUGUGAAAAUGUUUGUGAUGUUGAUGUUCCAAAAAUAUCGUGAUCCUUUGGCUCAAAAAGUUACUUCUAAAGAACUUUGUAAACUAUACCACUAUCCUUUUGGUUCAGAUAAUUGUCUUCAGGGGACUUUGUAGAUGUGCAUUAAGAAGAUGCUUAGGAUAAGCUAAUGGACGAAAAUUUACAAGCCAAAGGACGAAAUUUUACAAAACAUGUCCAACAUUUUCAUAUUAACUUAAAAUUUAAAAUGAAUGAGCGAUUUUGUGACAGAAAAACACAUUUAAAGUUUUCAAACUCAAACCUAAUUAAACACAACGAAGAUAGAAAAAAAAGGUGAAAACUGCGAUGUAGCUCUAGGAUAUAUGUCGUACUCGGCGGACUUCACAUGAGCCGAACAUUCGGCCUGUUCGGAAGGUCCACACAUGGGCCGAACAUUACGCCUAUUCGGAAGGUCAACAUGGGCUGAAUCAUUUGGCCUAUUCGGAAGGUCCACAUGGGCUGAACAUUCGGCCUGUUCGAAAGGUCUACAUGAACGAUGGGCCGAUGCCGCCAAGCCACAAGCCCGCAACCACCUUCUUCCCCGACUCCCCCAAGGUCCGCCAGCUCCUCCCUUCCCUCUCUCCCCCUCUGGAAGCGGCGGCGGCGAGAUGGGGAAGCAGAGCAAGAAGAGCAAGAGCAAGCGCGUCACGCUGAGCCAGAAGCACAAGGUGCUGCGCAAGGUCAAGGAGCACCACCGCAAGAAGCGCAAGGAGGCCAAGAGGGAGGGCAAGGCGGGCCAGCGGAAGAAGGUCGAGAAGGACCCCGGGAUCCCCAACGAGUGGCCCUUCAAGGAGCAGGAUCUCAAGGCGCUCGAGGCGCGCCGCGCGCAGGCGCUGCAGGAGCUCGAGCUAAAAAAGGAGGCGCCCAAGGAGAGGGUAUGCCAUGCCUGCCCCGCCCCGCCAUACCUGCCUUCCAUGAUUCCAUCUGCUGUUAUCGUUGGUGAUAUGCAUGCUGUUAGUUUGUGUCAGGACCCAACAAUAGUAUACAUUCAGUAUUACAGCCGAAUUCAUCCUCCAGUUGGUUUGAUUUCUUGGUGCAAAUAGAUGCUUCCCUAGAUUGGUAGUUGGUUUGCAAUGUGAAUAUGGCAAUCGCUAUCUUCAGUUUGGGUUCGACAAUUUCAUCAGAUUCAUUGGUGAAUAAAUUUUGUUGUGCAGUUUUGGAUAGCACCAACUCAGAUGUGGACUCAGGGCACACAAAUGUAGACAGUGUAUCAUUCAGUAGAUGGCCUGCUAUGGUUGGUGUCUGUCUUGAUAGUUUCAGUUCUAAGUUUUGUCAUCUGUUACAAAAAGAAAAAGAAAAGAAAAAACUAGUGGAAACCAAGACUGCUCUCUUUAUAAAUGUAUUUUGGUUUGUGAAAUUUUGACCAUUGUUUUAGUGGUUGGGUCUGCAUGGUACUGAGUACUGUAGGAUGGCGCUAAAUGUAUUGCCUGUAAAACUUUUGCAUUCACUCUGUUAGGACCAUGAACUUGCCUUAUGCUGGAUUGAGCAAUGAUCAAAUAUUGCCACCCUUUGCGAGGCUAGGGAGAUGAAUUCUGUGUGGUUUCUUCCUUUAAGGUUCAUUUAUGUUCUUUGUUCAAUAUUACAGAUAAAUAUAUUUCUUUUUCCUUGUGGUUAUUGAACGAUGAUACACUUCAUGCGCUCCUUUUUUCAGGCUCGGAAGAGGAAGCUCGGAUUGCUUGAGGAUGAGGGCAUUGCUAAUUUGGCCUCUACGGCUUCUGCGCAGGGCAGUGAGUUUGCAAAAAAGGAUGCAGCAAAGGAGAAUGCUCCUUUAGAAGUGGCAAAGAGCCAUGGUAAAUUUCUCAUCUCUCAUCGGUGAUUUAACUUGCCUACUUCAUGCAGUUACAUUAAUUGACUAAAUACACUAAAUGUGUCCCCAGAUCAUUCAGAGAGGUCUUUCUACAAGGAGCUUGUUAAAGUAAUUGAAGCUUCCGAUGUGAUUCUUGAGGUUCUUGAUGCGAGGGACCCGCUGGGAACCCGUUGCAUUGACAUGGAAAAUAUGGUUAGGAAGGCUGAUCCAACUAAACGGAUUGUUCUACUUCUGAACAAGAUAGGUAUUAUGCAGUGCUAUAUUGAGUUUAGAUUUUACUCUUAUGGCGGUCUAUGUCUUCCUACAUCUCAAAUUUCUGAUUCUUGAAUUCUAGAUCUUGUUCCCAAGGAGGCAGUGGAGAAAUGGCUUACAUAUCUAAGAGAAGAAAUGCCAACAGUUGCAUUUAAAUGCAAUACCCAAGAACAGAGGACCAAGCUAGGAUGGAAAUCUUCAAAACUUGAUAAAACAAGCAACAUUCCACAAAGCAGUGAUUGUCUUGGUGCUGAGAAUCUAAUCAGAUUACUCAAGAAUUAUUCCAGAAGCCAUGAGGUAAAGAUCCUGUCGUUUUCGGAGAAUGUUUACUUCUAGCUUCAGUCAUCUCUUAUCUAGCCCACAAGUUGAUUAUUGGCUUCUUUGAUAAUCCUUAUUCUGCAUCAUUCUAUGCGCUUCAUCACCUGACUUCAUUAUGAUUGGACCAUCGUUUCCAAUACUUUUUUACGUGUCCUACUUGUGUGAAUGAUAUUACCAUGUGUGGAAAAGAUUAAUGUAAUCCUUUUGAUCUUCAAGUGCAAACUUCCUAAAUUUUGUACCCGAACCUAGUGACUCAAUGUGUAGUAGUUUGACUUUUAUCAGUAUCUUAUCGUGAUGGUUCGAUUAGUGGUGUUUCCCUUCUUCUGUUUCUAGCUUCCUGUGCUUCAGCAUCUCAUACUUUUAAUGCUCCUGUAGCCAUUUACAUGUGCAUAUAGAGUUAGUAUCUUUUUUUUUGUGCUUUGUUUUCCCUUUUUGGUUAAGUUUUGUUAUUGGUGUGCUUGCAGCUCAAACUGGCAAUUACGGUGGGUAUUGUUGGGCUUCCUAAUGUUGGCAAGAGCAGUCUGAUCAACAGCUUGAAGAGGUCCCGAGUGGUUAAUGUCGGUUCCACUCCAGGGGUUACUAGAUCAAUGCAAGAAGUUCAAUUAGACAAGAAGGUGAAGUUGUUGGAUUGUCCUGGUGUUGUUAUGCUCAAAUCUUCCAACAGUGGUUUGUCUGUAGCCCUUCGCAACUGCAAAAGAGUUGAGAAAAUGGAAGAUCCAGUCAGUCCUGGUAAGCGCUAUUUUACAUGUUUCUCUGUCAUUUCUGUUAGGUUUUCUGAUACUUUUCAUUUUGUUCUAAUUACUCUUGAUAUUAUUUAUUAUUUAUGUAUUAUUCCAUUUGAUAAUUAGAUAGUACAUAAUGUGACUAGAGGUGCAAUACUUGACAUGUUCCAUGCUUUCUCUCUCUAUUUUUAAUGCUUCUAGUUAAGGAGAUCCUAAGUCUUUGCCCACAUGAGAAGCUGCUGUCUCUGUACAAGGUAGCAAGCUUUAGUUCAGUUGAUGAUUUCCUUCAGAAAGUAGCAACACUUCGGGGGAAAUUGAAAAAGGGUGGUGUAGUAGAUGUUGAAGCUGCAGCAAGAAUUGUGCUUCAUGACUGGAAUGAAGGUAUGGUUGAUAUUCUGUCAUCAACUUUGUUAAUUCUUUAUUGUUUUUAGUGACCUGACCCCCUUGUUUUUAGGUAAAAUACCAUAUUAUACACUGCCACCUAAAAGAGAUGCUGGGGAGGACUCAGAUGCAGUGAUUAUUUCAGAAGCUGGGAAAGAAUUUAAUAUUGAUGAAAUUUACAAAGCCGAGUCUUCCUAUAUUGGUGGUCUAAAGUCUAUUGAGGCUUUCCAUCAUCUCGAGAUUCCACAGAAUGCCCCACCUGGGAUCGAUGAAGAGAUGUUAGAGGUAAUAUUUUUUUACCAUAGUGGUUUUCCCUAAAUUCAGCUCAUAUUUUUCGUGUGGUAAUCAUCAGUAUAAAUUUGAUAUUGUUACUGCCUCCUCUUAAUUUCUACGAUUUUGUUCCUUGUGACUACCAGUUCCUUGUAAAGCUGAAGCAAUUGUUUCUGUGAGUUUGUGUUGUGUGGUUGCUGUGUAGUGGUGUGGUCUUAGCUCGACAUGCUCAUGUUAGGAUGUUUUUCAUCGGUUCUGUUUUUUCAGCAGAAAUUUUAAUCAUCUAUGAAUAAUGCUUUUGUACUCAUGAACUAUCAUGAUGUUAAAAGUUAGCGCAUGCUCUUCUGGUGAGAACACUCUUGGGAAUUCUCUGAAUGUUCUGUUCUGUUCUGCUUUGUUGCAAGUGAAAAAUCUUUCUUUAUGUAUACUUCUUGUCUUCACUGAACAGGAUGGCAAGAAGCCGAGCGAACCUGUCCAGGAAAGCUGCGAGGAGUUGAUGUCUGAUGCAAACAACCGGGAAGGAAGCAAGGCAAGCAGUGCUAGCACACAGCACGACAAGCUGUAUACCGCCGAGGGCAUACUCGACCCUCGAAAGAGAAAAGCGGAGAAGAAACGGCGCAAGGCAAACAAGUUCAGCGUGCUGAACGACAUCGAUGAGGACAAUGAUUUCAAGGUAGAUUAUCAAAUGAAGGAUGCGGCAGCCGAUGGUGAGGACGAUGAGAGCAACGAAGCAGUGGCUGAUGGUAAAGAUGGAGGAGAUGAAGCCAAGGAGAAUGACCCAAUGACUGGCAUCGAUGAUGCGUGAAACAAUGUAGCCCCUUCUGUGUAUUGAGUUCCAAAAAUGAGCAGCAAGUGGGGAGUUGCAAAAUUGACCCACAAAAGUUUUGUGCUCAGUUUGUUUGACACGAAAGUUCCAAAAAUGAUAGAUGUUAACUGUUGAACCUUUAUUUGAAAUGAGAAGAUAAGUAGGCUUGUGUGUGUUCACGAGGUGUGCAUUUUCUGUUGGGUAACAUGGUGAUAAAACACCUAAAAAGAUGGUAACUGUUCUUCCAAAAAGGGGGAAAAAAAAAAGAGAAGAUAUCUUCGGGAAUUCCUCAACUGCUGAAUUUGAUGACAUCUCGAUCAUCAAAUUGGCUGCUCUCCCAGAAGUACUGCCGGCGUCCCCGACGACGGAAGAAGUCGCCGUCGCUGAUCCAGAGCGCCUUCCCCAACCGCCAACCGGCCGAAGCAGCCGACUCGAAGCGCCGCGACCUGAUGAUACCCUCCUCGCCGCCGCCGACCGCAAGCCCCGGAGCUCCUCCCACCUGUUCGGAUACCACCACCUCUGAUGCCGGAUCAGGAUCUGAUACCCAGAGCGACCAACAAGUUGGUCCAGGGAAUAUCAUAUCUGAAAGCGUCGUCUCCCUCGUUUCCUACUUGGGAACCUUGAUCCUAUCCGAAUGCACAGGCAUACUCAACGAGGACCUGUACGAUGAUUUCACCACCAUUCUGACUUCAGCCAGCAGCUUCGUCAGAUCGAUUGGUGAUGUCGUCGAAGACGUGGUGAUCAAACUGCGGCUUCCCGACAAGGAGAUCGCCAGAGGCACGCUACACUACCACGAGCCCGAGCAUGAUAUUGCCGUCGUCGUCGUGACCCGUGCCCUCCGUUUCCAGCGGGCGCAUCUCAAGUCCACCCCCUGCAUCUACUGCAUGGAGGUCGAGCCCGAUCUCGAGGUGGUAGCCGUUGGGCGUCGCUUCGAGUCUGGUACGUUGGCGUCAACAGGGCUUUGAUCGGUGCUCCUCUAGUUGAUGCUUGAUUCCGGAGGCCGCUUUGCUGGGAUGAACUGCCAGGAUCAGGAUGGCGAGAUGACUGCGUCCCGACCGAAGAAUCUUGAGUUCUUGGAGCGUGCUGUUCACUAGGCCUGCUGUUCCUCCUGAGCCUCUCUAUUACGACAUGCUAAUAAACCACGACAUGGAGCUCGUCCAUGGCGGAGAUUACUCUUGUCGUAAGGAUAGACGGGCCAGAACUUGAAUUAGACUGAUUUGUUGGAAGCUUAUUGGUGCAAAAUUGCUGCCUCGUUGUGCUUUCUACUUGCUUGAUUGGUGCCAAACUGCCAAUGCUUCAAUUUUGUGAUGUGCUGCCACAUGAAUAAAUUGAUAAUGUACACACCCUCAUAGCGGCUUGGUGAAAAUGCAUACAGUAUAUGUGUGCUACUGCAACUAUAUGUGAAUUGUGCACGCUUGUGCGUGUUGGUGUUAUCUAUAUGAAUCUAAUGUUUGCAAUAUUUUGUUAUACUGGGCAGCUAGACAUGUUUUAACAAAAAAAAAGGACUAUUCUGUGUGCUCUGUGUCUAACAUCUGGGAUUCUGGGGUAUCAAAUUCAAUCUCAAGUUUUGUUUAUCUGCUAGUAUCUGCUAGUAAGAAUCCGAUUAAGAAAUUCCACAGUAGAAUAGGUGCCGUGCCAUAGAGCAACCAACAAAGAGUCAAAGAUUAACAGCUUAAAAAAGAGUCAUGUAAAGCAUACAGUCACGGCUGCGAUUCAGGCUUCAGUAAUGUCAAGAUAACUGCACAUACCAUAUAUACAAGACGUAAUCCGUAAUCCAUGGCAAGUUUUAAUCAAUACAUGUCUAGUAUGAAAAGCUAAGCAGAACCAGUCAGCACUGAACAACUUUCUCUUCUAUUUUCGACGAUCAGUUCAGGAAAACGCGUCGGCCUGUUCGCUUCAGCUUAUUCAGCUGGCUUAUCAGCCACCAAACAGUGUUUUCCUCUCACAACAAAUCAGCCAUUUCAGCUUUUCAGCCGGCUUAUAAGCUGAAGCGAACAGGCCCACGAUACGAUCAUUUCGCCAGCUACUACUCUAGUUUUUUUUUUUAAAACUAUUACUACCACUCUAGUUUCAAUGACGGAACACUGGUACGUCAAGGCUGAGAACGGUCAUACGGACCAAAAUAUGGAGGAGCUCUGGUACGGGCUGUGAAUGGCGCUCUUUGAGUUCCUGAAAAUGGUUGGCCACACUGAUUGUGAAUUCCUGGCCUGACAUAUGAAGAUAGCCUCGGGCGUUUAUUCCGUUCCUGCUGUCUCUGCCUGCGUUGACUUCUCUUGCGAUUCUUAUUAUUCUUUUUUCUCCCUUUUCGGUUUUGCCACACCCACCCUUGUUCUUGUCGAUUUUGAGGGUGCUGUUGCUGCAUCUCAUGUGGCUUCUGCUGCUGCUGCUCCUCUUCUGGCAUUUGGUGCAGCUCUUGUGGCCUUUUCUGUUGCUGCUGCUGCUCUAGUGGCAUUUGUAGCUGCUCGUGAUACUGCUCUUCUAAAUUGUGCUGCUGAUGUGUGCUUGAAAUGAAAGCUGAAACACCUGCUAGACUUUGCUGCUUGUUUGCAUACUUGUGUAACAAGCAGGUAAUUUCUGCCUUGAUGCUAUUACGAUGGGCAGCAUCUAUAUUGCACCCAUCAAUUGCACUCCAAGAAAAUAUUAGAGCAUUGACCUUCUUUGCCAUCACUUGAUUCUGCCCAAGGAUUUUGCAACAGCGUUAAAACAGUUGAAAGUAUUAUAUGUCUAUACCAGUAUUGAAAAUAUUACAGGAGAAGGGUUUUUUUUUUUCAAGAAAGGAAGGGGUUCUAUAAUUUUUUCCCCAUAAAGUGAGCAACACAACUUUUAAGGGAACAGGUAUAUGAUUGCAACAAUCAACUGGUCCACUACAUACUAAUUUCACUGCUUUAGAAAGAGAAAAAACAAAAAUACAUAUCAUGAACGAUUUAUCAUUUCAUUAAGAAGAAGAAUGGCAUCCAAUAUCUGACCCAAAAGGACCCAAACCUAUAUCUGGUGGGGGUGCACAGCCAAACCUAGUUUUAGUUUCUCAACUGACCACUUUAAGACUUGUGAAAAUUGAGCUUAUGAAAAGCAUGAAAGUGUGCUGUUUUUUCCCUCCAAAUCCAGAACUUCUUAAAGUUAAAAAAACACUACUACAAGUGCUAAACUAGAUAAACAAUCGAUUUCAUAUAAGUUUGAUUAGCAUAACAAGACAUCCUUUCCAAAGAAAUAGAACUAACCAGAGACUCCAGUGUGUAGCUUUCUUUGCUUAGUAUGUCUUCAGCAGUCUUCUUGGCAUUCUCAACAUAAUCUUUCAUGAUGGUAAGUGGAGGAUAUUUGUGAGUCAAAUUGAAAGUAUGUGCCAAUCUGAUAGCAUCAAGUGGCUGCCCAUUUUCAAUGAAAUGAUUGAUUGAAUCUGCAAAAGGAUGAAUUAAAUAUUACUCACAAAACUUGGUAAACCAAUAGGAUAGUGGUAUCCUUCCAGUUCCUGAGUUCCAGAAGCUUUCUAAGUAAUUAGCAUAAUUAAUAUUGAGGUUCAAAAUAUGCUCCACAACACGCAAUAACUGCAAACACAACACUGGAAGAAAAAGCAGUGACAGAUAAUUUUUGUUGUCAGAUAUGAGAAGUUGUUCCUAGAUUAAUGUAGAAGCUAUAGUAGCUUGAGAUAAAUCAUAUAUCAUCCAGGUGAUGCUGUGACUGAAAUAUGACAUAUUAUCAGUAAUAAUUAAUAAACAAGCACAAAUACUUGAGCGACUGAAACUUCAAUUUGACCACUGCAUCCAUAAAUGUGAAUUUCUCACUGAAAAAGGAAGGAAAGUACAUAUCACUACACAGGAAGGAAUGAAUUGAAAUACUCUGCAAUUUGCUUCUCAAUGCCACUGCAAUCUGCAAUCCAGUUCUAACUUCGAGUAGCUAGAGAUUGGCACCUCAUUAGCGUUUAAGCUAGAGUUUAUGGAUGCUACGGUUCAUGCUUUAACUUUGGAGAGGUUAAAACGUGGUUAGCUGGAGCAAGCUUAUGCAAUUCUGAGCACUGUGAUUUCUGAAUCACAAGUUAACUGCAACAUACAGGAGAACAUUCAUCUGCACGCAUUGCGUCAUAGCAUAGAUUAACUACAACAUAUGAGGUAGACAAAUUCAGCUGUGAGAUUUGUGGAAUCAUACCAGUCAUCUUCUCGAUCAGGCCAAGACGCUCGCAGAGCUCAACGCAGUUGUUCUUCAUCUGGGGAGCGAGAUUGCCAAAGAGACAGGUGAUCUCGUCAUCAUCGAACUCCAGGGCAAUGUUGUACGAAGCAACGAAGGUGAGAAGGCCCCAUCCGGCCAUCCGGCUCAUGUCCCCGCAACUCCAUGGCUUCCCGACCACCAUCUCCUUCCAGUCCCUCGCCACCCGCUCCGCCUUCACCAGCGCGUCCGCCGACGGCGCGGCGAGGCGCGGCGCGCACUCGAUCAGCGCGACGCAGUUUUCCCAUAACCUGUUCGUCUUGCGCACCGCUGAUGCCAGGAAUUCCCCGACGGCGCGGACGAGGAGGGCGUGCGGGUCCGCGGCGCCGAGCAGCGUCGGGAGGAACUCGCCCCGCGCGCGGAGGGAGCUCCUGCCGCUCAGGCACAGCAAGCCCACCAGCGCGGAGGGGUCCGCCGCGACGGCUCUCAUCGGGGCCGCCUCUGCGCCGCCGACGGCUGUGGCACGCUGACGCGGCAGCUCCCCCUCCUCCGGCUCGUCGUCCUCGACGCCGUCUCGGUCUGCGCUCGCGUUCACUGCCUCCUCCGCCUCCUCCAUCAUCAUGUCGAUAUCGCCGUCGCCUUGGCGGGGAGACGCCGCGGUCGCGCCCAUGGCAUCGUCCUCCGCCUCCUCGUCUCGCUCCGGAGACGCCUCGAUCGCCACCUGCGCCGCCUUCUCGUUCCCCGCUUCGUCACCUUCUCGGUCGCCGUCGGGACGCGCACUGGAUGCCUCCCGGACCUCCCCCUCAUCCACCCCGCGUUCCCGGUCAUGGGACGCGUUCUGGCCCUCCUCCCCUUCCUCCGCAUUGCUUCCUUGUCCCUCCGCCCACGCUCCGCGCUCGCCGCGGCGUUCCCGGUCCUGCUCCUGCUCCUCCUCCAGGUGCUCGACGAAGUUACCAGUGGUGGCCGGGCUCGCAGCGGCUACGUCCGCGGCGUGGGGGGAGUCGAGCUCGGGGCCGGGCUCGAAAUGGCCGAAGCGGGCGGCGACGGAGGCGAGGUGCGCGUCGAGGUCCUCCCAGCGGAAAGGGACGGGGACCGGGGAGCAGGCGGCGAGGCGGUCGAAGGCCUCCCGGAGGCGGCGCCUCUUGGCCGGGAGCGCGGCGACGGCCGCCUCGAGCUCCGCCUGCGUCGCCAUCGCCGCCGCGGGAGCGGUGGUGGUGGGAACCGGCGGCAGCGACGUGGGCGUUGGUUGGGAGGCGGACUGCAUUUCGCUUCGCGUGAACACAACCCCUCCACUUGGGUUUUCGGUUUUGGGCCGGCAACGCUACAAAUACAAUAAGCACCGUCUGAUUCGCAAAACCCCUGCCACUGGAUCAUGAGCUGUUCAUUCCAUUGCAUGCCACUCCGGGAGUGACUUUUUUGCCCAUUACGUGCAGUUACCGGACAAUGAGGUGGUAUUUGGUUACUGGGUCGGAAUGGGUUCGACCCACAUCNNNNNNNNNNNNNNNNNNNNNNNNNNNNNNNNNNNNNNNNNNNNNNNNNNNNNNNNNNNNNNNNNNNNNNNNNNNNNNNNNNNNNNNNNNNNNNNNNNNNNNNNNNNNNNNNNNNNNNNNNNNNNNNNNNNNNNNNNNNNNNNNNNNNNNNNNNNNNNNNNNNNNNNNNNNNNNNNNNNNNNNNNNNNNNNNNNNNNNNNNNNNNNNNNNNNNNNNNNNNNNNNNNNNNNNNNNNNNNNNNNNNNNNNNNNNNNNNNNNNNNNNNNNNNNNNNNNNNNNNNNNNNNNNNNNNNNNNNNNNNNNNNNNNNNNNNNNNNNNNNNNNNNNNNNNNNNNNNNNNNNNNNNNNNNNNNNNNNNNNNNNNNNNNNNNNNNNNNNNNNNNNNNNNNNNNNNNNNNNNNNNNNNNNNNNNNNNNNNNNNNNNNNNNNNNNNNNNNNNNNNNNNNNNNNNNNNNNNNNNNNNNNNNNNNNNNNNNNNNNNNNNNNNNNNNNNNNNNNNNNNNNNNNNNNNNNNNNNNNNNNNNNNNNNNNNNNNNNNNNNNNNNNNNNNNNNNNNNNNNNNNNNNNNNNNNNNNNNNNNNNNNNNNNNNNNNNNNNNNNNNNNNNNNNNNNNNNNNNNNNNNNNNNNNNNNNNNNNNNNNNNNNNNNNNNNNNNNNNNNNNNNNNNNNNNNNNNNNNNNNNNNNNNNNNNNNNNNNNNNNNNNNNNNNNNNNNNNNNNNNNNNNNNNNNNNNNNNNNNNNNNNNNNNNNNNNNNNNNNNNNNNNNNNNNNNNNNNNNNNNNNNNNNNNNNNNNNNNNNNNNNNNNNNNNNNNNNNNNNNNNNNNNNNNNNNNNNNNNNNNNNNNNNNNNNNNNNNNNNNNNNNNNNNNNNNNNNNNNNNNNNNNNNNNNNNNNNNNNNNNNNNNNNNNNNNNNNNNNNNNNNNNNNNNNNNNNNNNNNNNNNNNNNNNNNNNNNNNNNNNNNNNNNNNNNNNNNNNNNNNNNNNNNNNNNNNNNNNNNNNNNNNNNNNNNNNNNNNNNNNNNNNNNNNNNNNNNNNNNUUCAGCUAUUCAGUUGAUUCGGGUUGGAUUGGGUCCAACCUACAUGGAAUAUUCCCUUCAGAUCCAGGUCGAGAUGGUCCGCACAAAUCGAGCGGACCAUCUUCACUUUGACGCCAUUCUGCUCCGUUCGGGCGCGGGCAAGGGAGGCGAGCGCGGCUGCGCGAGAAUGAGCGCCUAGGGGGAGCUCCGCCACCGCUGGCCGAGCUCGAUCCCCGCCGCGGCCGCCCGGGUGAGCUCGAGCCCCGCCCGGUCAAGUGAGCGAGCUCGAGCCUUGCUGCGGCCGAGCGAGCUUGAUCCCCGUCGCGGGAGAGGGAGGGAGGGGGUGGCUGGCGGCACGAGGAGAUGGAGGGGCACGACUGGCGUGGGAGAGGGAGGGAGGGGGCGGCUGGCGGCACGGAAGAGGGAGGAUCGGCCGGCGGCGUAAGGAGAUGGAGGGGGUGACGGCCGGCGCAGGAGCGGGAGGAGCGGGGGCUGGUGUGGGAAGGGAGGGAGGGGGACAUGAAAGGGGCAACGGCUCUACACAACUGAGACAAAAUCAUGUGAUUCCUCAAGAAGAGGCAGAAAACGGGCUCAACACCAAUCACAUGAAAAUCCAAAUUCAAAUCAAAAACCAGCUCCUCAAGAAGAGGUAAACCAUUAGUGUAGCCAAGAACCCCGUUCUCCACUCAAAAACUAAACACAUUGAUGUGAGAUAUCAUUUUCUGAGAGAUCAUGUUGAGAAAGGGGAUAUUGACCUUGGCUAUGUUGCUACCCAAAACCAACUCGCGGACAUUUUCACCAAACCCCUGGAUCAAGCCACUUUUGCUCGUUUGCGGGGGAGUUGGGUGUUUGCUUUCCUUUCUGAGUUGGGUUUUUGGAGCUUCUCUUGUAUUAUACUUGUAUCAUUUUUGUACAAAACAUGGUAGGAUAGCCACUUCUUCAUGAUAGCUUUGAGUUCUUCAUGUAUAUCUUAUCAUGCUAUCUUUUGUGAUAUAUUGUGGUGGAUGAUACAUAUGAACAUCAUGUCAUGCUUUACCUUAGUUCACAUUUGGGUGUGGCAUGUUGUUCAUCUGUAUCAUUUUAGCUUAGUUUCCAUGCAUUUUGUAUCAUAUUGCAUUUUGUAUCAUGUUGCACUAGAUGAGCUUCUCCUAUAUAUCUUGUGUACUCCCUUAUGCUACUUGUGAGCUAGUGCUGUGGUUGGUGAUUUUGAUGCAAUGUGCAGUUAUGCUCUUGAUGAUAUUGUAUACUUGUUGAGAUAAUUGUUUUUGAAAUUCAAUGCUAAAUUCUACUCUAUUACUUGCUUAUCACCCAUGAGUAGAUGCUUGGUUAUGGUUUGCCCUUGGUUGAAUACUGGUUCCAUAUCUAGCUUAUGUUUGGAAUCCAUGUUCUUUUCAAUUGGGUCAAAGAUCUAGGUAUCAUUGCAAAUGUUUAGCCCAUGAUGCACCCCUAGGGGAAGCAUGGCUUCUUUGUGCCUCAAAUGCACUUCAUGUAUUUUGCUUUGUGUGAAUACUGAAAAGAAAUAUGCUGAAAACUUCAUAAAUUCACCAAGUUUUUGUGCUUAAUGUGAUAUUAUUGCUUGCUUAGUUGUUACAAGAUGUCUACCAAAAGAAGUAGACACUUGGUUUCAACAAGCUUUAAACAUGACUUGGGAUGCAUAUGUGGGUGUUUGCAAUGAUCUCUUGUUGAGAAUGGAUUUUCCUAGUAUGAGCUCUUGAUGGACUAGUCUAUUCUUGCUUGGGUGAUUCUUAACUAGGUAAAUGCUCAUGUGGUGAUCUUUUUAUACAUUGCUAAAACUUGAUACUUUCUUCACCUCUACUGUUGUAACUUGAUAUCAUCUUGUUGGCGAUGCUAUUGUUUCUUAUGAUCUAUCAAGCUUUAUCUUCCUAGUAGCCUUUGAGAGUGCAUUGUGAUAUAUUUGAGAAGCUUUUUAGGUUCUACAUUUUCAUGGCAUGCACUUUGUGCUUUCAUGCUUUUCUUGAUGUUGCAUUGUCAACAAGGGGGAGAGAAAUCUACACAAACUCUUUCAUCUAUCAAGGGGGAGACCUUGCAUGUAUGCAUGAUUUCAGGGGGAGUGCAUAUGUUCAGGGGGAGUAUUUAUGAGUUGUUGUUAUACUCUUGUUAUGCUCUUAUGCUCUUGUACCGGUCACGUUGAGCUGUUUACCUCUUCUUGAGUAGCCGGUUUUUUAUUUGAGUUUGGAUUUUCAUGUGAUUGGUGUUGAGCCCAUUUUCUGCCUCUUCUUGAGGGAUCACAUAAUUUUGUCUCAGUUGUGUAGAGCCGUUGCCCUUAUCUUAGGGGACUGAGAUUUUCCAUUUUGAGUUUCUUGUUUUCUGUUUCAAUACUAUGAAUUUGUGGGGUGUUGUCAAUGCACUCAUCAAGAGGGAGAUUGAGGACCAAUGGUGGUCACCCUUGGAUGAUGAGUGAUUGACAACGUUGUGUUGGAUUGAUGUUGCUCUUGGCUUGUGAUGUGGAGGUGUAGGAUGCGACGUGACAGUCGAUGGCGUGCGGUGAAGGUCAAGCGAAAGGUUCAUACCGAUGGACCAAGGGCGGUGAAGGAUGAACGCGAGUACGCUUGGACCGAUGGACCCGAGUAGUCCGCGCGGAGUCACGGGCGGUCCACAUGGUGCAUGGAACGACGAGAGAACAUGACGAGAUGGAGAUGACGUCGGUCGAGUCGAGCGGGAGGCUUGGCAGAGGCCGGACACGUGUUGACAUCAAGGAGGUCGCGUAGCGGCCAAGCGAAGAUGGACGGUUUGGGUGGUUUGGGCCUCAAAACCACCGCGCAGGCAGGUUUCCCGGUUUGUGCCUCAAAACCGGGGGUGAGCCCGGUGCGGCCGGAGCUUCAAGAAGGAGGGCACUUGGUGUCAUCGCGAAGCUUGCGUCGAGGCGAAGCAAAGUCGUGAAGGCGGCGUGUCCGUCCGGUGCGCGGAUAAAAACUUGGACCAAAAUGCCCCUGCGUGGGUAGUUAUCUUAGUUGUAGCUGUAGGGGUAGUAUAGUCUUUCGUCCUGGACUAUAAAUAGGGAUGGGGGGCUGGUUAUUUCAGAACCCCUUGGCUUAGCAACUCAUUAUCUUUUAGCUUAGAGGCUAGUCAUGUGCUUAAAGUGAGAGGAGAGAGGAAGAUUAGAGAGUGAUUACUCUUUUAUCUUGAUUUCUUCAUCUUUAGUGGGUGGAUGAAGGGUGGAGGCUAGUCCUCAUCUUGUAUAGAAGAUGUUCUCGUGAUUUAGCUUUGUUUGUUGUCUCAAAUCGUGCUAAAUCUUUGAUUCCCGAGCGUUUUUCUUUUUCCCUAUUUUCGGAGCUAUUUUUGCGGAAUUUUCGUUCAUCAUGUUUGAGCCCGAAUCUCAUGAGAUAGGUUGAAGGGAAAUGUUGCUAGGACCUUGGAGAGCAUCUUUGAUAUGAUCCUCCUCCAAAUCGCUCACGAAUUCGGCUUGAUUUUAAGUUUUUCCCAAAUCGUGUUCUUGAAUUAGGGUUUCGGUUUUCUCCAAGAUUAGUGAUGAAUACUUGAGUUUUUUGAGAGUUGUCUCAUGGAUCUAUUUGACCUUGGGGUAUUGCAUCCUUAUCUCAAGUUUCGUGUCAAAUCGUGGAGUAUCGAGAAAGGAAUUUUGGAUUGAAGUGUGGCCGGCGUUCUUGUUGUGUUCUUCGGUUCUUUCUGUUCUUCCUUGUGCAGGCGUUGAGCAAAGCGAUUCGCAACAGCAGGAGCAACACGCUCGUGUGCAACGCAGGCCGAACCGGCAACAACGUGCAGGCUUGAGCAAAGUCGGCCCAGUUCGCACGUGCCAGACGGCCCAGCGUGCAAAGCUGAGCAGCAGGCUUGGCCUAGCUCGCGCGUGCCAAGCAGCCUAGAGCGCAUGCUCGCUUGUGGCCCAGCACAAGCACGUGGGCCAACACAGGGGAGUCUCAGGUUCGUGCGUCAGGUAGGUCACCAGGUUUAGGAAGUCCACGCAAGGAGCAGAUUAGCUACAGUGAGCUCAUUCCUUUGGUCUUUUAUUAAUUCAUGCACCUUGGUAGUUAAUUCCUAUUUAGCUACUUGAUUAGUUUUGACUCUUGCUAAUCAUGCUUAGGUCUUUAAAUUAAUUGUUUCUUCUUGCAUGCUUAGUUUAGUAAGUGGUUAGUAAUGAAAUCAAUUCAUGCUAUGUUUCCGCUGUGAUUUGAGCGUUCUCUUAUCGUUCCUAGGGUGAGCUUGUCACGAGUUGACUUGCGUCAUCUUGACGAUAGAACGCACGGUGUGGUGUGGGGUUGCAUUUGGGACAUAGGCCUUGAUUUUGUUGAGAAUUUUUAUAGGCUCCCAUUCACCCCCCUCUGGUCGCUCUUUCGGUCCUUCAUCUGAAAAUUAAAUUAUGAGCAGAUUUAAAGCCUCUUCAACUGAUGUUAACACAAGUUAUCUGAAAGUAUAAGUUUGCUUAAGAAUUUGGUCAACAUUUCAGCCAAAUUUAUUAUGAAGACUAACUUUCCUGCACAAAGUAUUUCUUAAGCCUUUGCAGGAGUGCAAUAUAAUGUAGUUAGGAAGAUAUGAUGCUGCAAUGUGACUCAAGCAAACUUUAACAUACUGUCUCCCAAGCUAAUAUAAAAACAAUUCUUGGUGAGUGCAUUCUGCAUUGGACUAUAAAACACCACGUUAUUUUUUUUCAUGCAUGUUUGUUCACUGAACCAGAAAUAGGGGGCACAACAAAUGCAUCUUACAUCAAGGACUCGCUCCUGAAGUAAUGAUUCUCUUAUUGAAGGCCAAAAGCAUAAUACGCACAGCACAUGUUCUCUUAUCAGCAGCGGUAACAUUGUCAUAUCAUGUAUGAGCAGAAGUGUAUUAACAUAAUUAUGAUUAACAAUGAUAAAAGGCACAACCGUACUUGGGAUCCUAUCGUCAAGUCCGAGACCCUUAAAGAGCACGGAAUGGUUCCUCUGUUGUUUGCGUGGGAUGGUACCAAAGAUACGGAAGAUCUCCUUCGUGUCAAACUCUGAUACAAUGUUAUAUGAGCUGAGGAAGUUGAGCAAGCCCCACGAGGCCAGGCUGCCUAGGGACGUGCAGCUCCGCGGAUUGUCGAUCAUCUCCUUCCAACCCGUAGCUAGCCAUUGUCGGGCAUACUCCCCAGGUCCACGAGUAGGCCUUGGACGGCCCACCAAGGGACGUACUCGGACGAGAUCAGAACAAGGAUGGGCGUAUCCUUCUCGGACUAGUCUUGUAUGAUUAUGGAAAACUACUCGGGCCAAUACCGAGUAGAACUCUGUAAUAGUACCCGACUAGGACUCAGACUUGUAACCCUACCCUCCCGCGUAUAUAAGGCCGGGCAGGGACCCCCCUCAAGACAUCAGGUCUAUCAUCAUCGAUCUAUCUCUCGACAUCAAUACAAACCAACACACAGGACGUAGGAUAUUACGUGAUCUAGCGGCCCGAACCAGUGUAAAUCGUGUUCCGUGCGUCACCAUUGAUUCCUUGAUUCUCGACGACCCUUACCGCAUAAAAGACCACCUAGGGUACCCCCUACCUGGCGCGCCAGCUGUCGGUGUUUUAGAUCGGCAACCUUGCCGGUAUAAAAUACCGACAACCACUUUGCCUGCUCAAGAGAAUCUGUAGAAAGCUUGGUAACAACUUCAGGUACUGUUUGAAUUAGCCCAACACGACCUUGUUGGUCUUCAGCGUCUUGUCAUGUAGGAAUAAUUUAAUUACACGGAGAGACAGUGCUGCACCAUGUGGGGCAUGAUGCAUUGCAACAUGGAACUCUGAACUAAGCCCGACAUUGGUAUGUAUGAGCUUGACCAACCUCAGCGCAUUCAUGUUUGUGAAUGCUGCAGCAAGAUCAUUAAAUUCAACUGGACCUGGACAAGCUUGACUACCCUGGUCUCGAGGCACCCUCUUGGCCUGCUCCCCCUUUUCCUCUGUUGUGUUUUUGGUAUCCUGCUUCUCCUCGUGAGCCUCCUGCUCUUCUUCUUCCACCUACUUCUCACCGCAAAACCUCUUGCUCCUCACCCUACAGUGCGGAUGCCUUCUUGGUCGCUGCCUUCUCCAUGUGAGUAUCCUGUUCUUCCUCCAUGUUGGCAUCCACCUCCUUGUCCAGAGAGGCUUUCUUCACAUCUUCCAUACUCUGCUCCUCCUCCAUGUUGGCAUCCUUCUUGUCCUGAGAGGCCCUCUUACCAUCUUCGGUACUCUGCUCCUCCCCAUUGGCCACCCGCAUCUCCUCGUCACCAUCCUUGUCAUCCUUCAUUUCAUUGCCAAUCCUGUCGUCGGCCGCCUCCACAACUUCCUCUUCCUCCAGCACCUCAUCUCUGUCCUCCUUCUCAUCCUUACCAUCCUUGCCAAUCUUAUCGCCUGCCUCGUUGUCGUCACAUUCCUGCAUCUCUUCAUCCGCCUUCUCUUCCUCUUGUUCCAUCACCACCUCUUCCUCUUGUUCCACCAGCACCUCCUCCUCCACUUCCACCACCUCCUGCGGCCUCGUCUGGCAGCAGUGGGUGCAGGGCAGGCGGCCUUGUCUGGCUGCGGUCACUGCACCAGGCGCGCCUCGACGCCGCCGUGCUGCACCAACAGCUCGCCGCCAGUGCCCGACCACGCCAUCCAUGCGCAUCGCCACUGCAUCCCUAUUCGCCUCGUCAUGCGAGCCCAACCCUGCCACGUCGCGCAUGCGGAGCUCCACCUCAUCACGCCAUCGUCCUAUGCGCCUCCUAUGCUCGAGCAUCCCAGCAGCCAUUAACUUCGCCCGUUCCUAUGCGACGCCCAUCGACAGUCCACUCCACCUCGCCUCCGGCCUAUAAAAGGGCCUCUGCUCCGCUCUUCACUCCACCACCGAGCUUCCCGGCCAACUCCCCCUCGUUCUUGUGCUUCCAUUGCCGCUCCCGCUAUCUCCCGCCCACCGUCGCGGAGCUGCCUCCACCAGCCGCCUCAGCCCAAGGUAAGGAGAGGAAUCGAACCCCCUCGGUCUCCUCUCCAUGUUCCCCCUCUUCCCAGUCGCCGGAGUGCCCCAGCACCGUCUCUCCCCAACCAGGCUGUUUCCUCCUGUUUCUUCCCGUGACAUUCUGUCUCAAGGAAGAAGAAAGCUCUGUUUUGCAUUUUCACCCAUCCACUUAUUUCUUUUUUGCAUCCAAACCCUCCCACCUCUCUCUUUGCCAUUUUCAUCAAAAACUGUUCCACCUCCAAAAAUAAUUACAAGCAAGUCCCUAACUCCUUACAAAUAAGCCCCUGAUCCUCUAUUUCGGCUCCAAGAAUACCUUUGCCUCGUCAUAUUAUGCACCAAAUUUCCUCCAAUGAAACCCAAAUUCGACCACGUCAUUCUUAAAUAUAUUUCCACCGAGUCAUCUACAAGAUCCCAGAAAAUACUCCUCAUUUCAUAUUUUUAGUCACUCCCUCCCUUCGAACUCAACGGGUAAAACUUUAUCUUCUCUUAUUGUGCACUUGCUUGUGUGUCGUAGAUCGCACAGUGACCGCGGAGGAGCCCAAAGAGGAGCUUGAAGCCUAGUACCGUGAGCCCGAGCCUGAAGACUCGUACCGCGAGCAGGAACUCCCGGAAGACUUUGAGGACGGCAAGUCCAAUCUCAUCCUUUGAUGCAUAUUUAUCCUAGUUUUUCAAACACAACCUAUUGGCAUGUUUUACAAAAAUAGCAUAUUGUUUUACUACUGAAACACGAUUGGAUAGCCACCCUUUGAUUGUUAUGAUUAUUCCUUAAUAUCCUAUAAUUAUCUCUAAAUAUGACUUACUCUAUUUGGAUGAUAAUUACUGCUAGAAGGCUUAGGACCUUGUUACUUAUCACAAUUCAAUCAUGACUACAAUGAACAAAGGUGUGGUUGAGUAGGUUGGGAGAUAUCCAUCUUGUCAUGGUUAAGGACCGAGUUGAUGUAUCAUCUUGCCUAACCCAGUUUAUCGUGCAACCAUUCGACCGUUGUACGCGGUAACAGCUUAGCAUAAAUCCCACUAGCUAGUCUGUUAGCCAUCAGGAGAGCUGGCGAGCAACGAGAGACCAUGGAGAAGGAGUAAGAGCUGUGUGAACUUAGAUCCCAGUUGAUACCUCGUUGGUAGGUCAUUAACCCCUUGGUUGCUUCCGUGUUGGCUAGUCAGGCUUAACUAAGGUGGGUAAUGGCUCUGAUAGGAUCUGCACUGACACUAAGGUGAUCAUGUUGUGGUACCCUACUUGUGGGUAAAGUGUACAACAUCUGCAGAGUUAAAACCUAUCCGGGUAGCCGUGUCCACAGCAUUGGACGAGUGACAACUUGGUCACAUGACUAGUGUUUGGGAGACGAAUGAUUUCCAUGGUGUGUGUUGGAUUUUGGAAGUGUCCGGCAGUUGUGGCGUGAGCUACUGCGGACGGGAAGUCCGGUAGCAUUAAAAAUUGGAUCCUUUGUGUAGGAUCAACCCCACUUAAUGAUUUGGUUACUAAAGAAAUGCUUUGCGAAAAUCCUUUUGAAAAUAAACCCUUGCAUGUGUUAAAAUCUACCUUUAUUCCAAAUAAACCUUAAGUCUUAUUCUUGUUAUAUCCUGUGCAUAUUCUUGGUUGUAUCCCCCUUCUUGGAUGGGGUUGGACUUGUCGAGUACUUUUGUACCCACCCUUGUUUUGUUGCUUCAGAGAAAGAUCCGGACUUCCUCGCUGAGGAUUUUGAGUAGGAGGUCGCUUCCGCACCCAACGCUGCCUGUGGUGUUGGCUCUUGCAGAAUGCUUCCGCUGCCAUGUAGUCUCGAGUGAUGUCUCUUGACAGUAGCUUGGCUCGCUGCUGUUGUUUAUUUACUUAUCAUUUCGACGUGGCUUUCGCGCCCACUCCCUCGGGAUUUGUACGGUUUAUGAACCAUCUAUCAAAUAAAUGUGUUAUCAACCUCCUGGGACUAAUAUUUGUUUCACAUUUAGUCUCCGAUGAUGUGGGGAUGCUUCACAGGGUCAACGAGGGUCUGCGCGGGGUGAUCGGGGAUGAACAAAGGGAGGGAGCACGGCGGUGAUUGGGGAGGAAAAGAGGAAGGCCAUGCAGAAGGAAGCACUGAAGGUGGCGUAGGCUGCCGCCGCAACAAGAUGGUGGCGAGACUACGAGGCAGAGGGGAGCCGGCUCUGAACUACGGUGAGUACUCUGAUUUCUCUACCAUAUCGAUUGUAGUGAUUGGAUUUUAGGGUGUGAUUCUAGAAUAUUGAAUUGAAAAACUUGGAUUUGGCAGAUGGGAUUGUUGAUUUGGGGAUAAUUUGUUAGGGUUUUGGCUUUGAUAUGGAUUUUAGAAUUUCGGGGAAAAACUCAAACUUUCGAGAGGUUGUAUCUAAUCAAUUUGAUUUGCUUGUGCAUUGUAAGUCCUGGUUCAUAUGAGUUCAAUAUUGAGGUUCACCAUGGGGGUUUCUUUGUUGGAUUUGGUCAUCUGAGGUCAUAUAUGGGUGAGAAGAUUGAUUGGUCUGAUAGGAUUGAGACUGAUACUUGGAGUCCUUUGUGGUUCGAGAAUUUUGUUUAGCAGCUUGAUUAUGUGAGUAAUAGCAACAUCAAGUAUUAUUGGUUGUUACCAAGGAAGACCUUAGCUGAUGGACUGAGAGUGAUAGCUUCUGACCAUGACACCAAUGUGAUGGCAUCAGUGAUACAGAAGUUUAGGACUUUAGUAGUGUUUAUUGAUCAUGAUGACAACACGGGAGGUCUUGAUUGGGAAGAUGUGGUUGCCAAUCAAGUUGUAAUAUUGAGAGGAAAACUAGUGAGAAAUUACCACUGUCCUAUACUGGCUUGAAGAAAGGUAGAGUUGAGCAAGAUGGUCUUAUUCAGGAAGAGUACAAGGAAUAUGAGCAUGAUGAGAAGUUCAUAGACAGUGAUAAUGACAUAGAUGCUAGUGAUAAGGACUUGUUGGAGGAUGCUGUUGAAAUGGAUGUGAAGGGUCUGAGGGAUAAUAAGAAAGCAAGAGGAAGCAAACUGAAGUCAUAUGAGAUAAAUAGACUUGCACAAGUCAAUGAUGAUGAGGAUAGUGAUGAUGACGGCUUGGAGCUGCCAGAUUCAGAUGGGGGAGAUAGGCUGAAGUUCAAAUCUUGGAAUGAAGAGGACAUCAAUAAUCCAACAUUAUUUGUUGGACAAGUGUUUCAAUCUGCUAAAAAGUUGAGAGAGGCAAUUAUAGAAUACAGUGUGAGGAACAGGGUUGAAAUACUACUGCCCAGGAAUGACAACAGAAGGAUAAAGGGUCAUCGUGCUGAAGGUUAUCCAUGGACCUUAUAUGCUUCAUUGGAUAGAAGGUUCGGUCAUUUGUUGUGAAGACAUACUAUGAAGUUCACAAUUGUCAGAAAGAGUGGGUACUUAGGAGGUGCACUUUUAGGUGGUUGGUUAGUAAGUACACUAAUUUAUGUAGAGCCAAUGAGAAGAUGAGCAUCACCAGCUUUGGCAAGACAGCCCAAAAAGAUUUGAACUUGACCAUUUCUAGGAUCAAGCUUGCUAGAGCAAGAAGGCUGAUUUUGAGUUCUAUUCAUGGAGAUGAAGUCCAGUAGUACAAAUACUUGUGGGACUAUGCUGAAGAGUUGAGAAGAAGCAAUCUUGGGAGCACAUUCUACUUAAAUUGUGCUAAAAACUUGUUCAGUACAUGUUACAUGUCACUGGAUGCAUGCAAGAGGUGUUUUUUGACUGGAUGCAGGCCCAUGAUCUAUCUAGAUGGAUGUAACAUUAAGACCAAGUUUAGAAGUCAGUUUCUGAUAGCAGUAGGCAUUGAUCCUAAUGAUUGUAUAUAUCCUAUUGCAAUGGCUGUUGUGGAGGUAGAGUCACUUGCUUUAUGGAAAUGGUUUUUGGAAACUCUAAAGGAUGAUCUAAAGAUAGACAACACAUAUCCUUGGACAAUUAUGACAAACAAGCAAAAGGUAUGUGAUGUGCGCAUCUUGAAAUCUCCAUAUUGAUUAUGUGAUGUGCAUCUUGAAAUCCUCACUAACUAUUUUUUUUAAAAACGUGCAAGGACUAAUCCCAGUUGUGCAGCAGGUAUUCUCUGAAUUAGAACACAGGUUUUGUGUGAGGCACCUGUAUUCAAAUUUCCAAGAAAAAAUUCAAGGGUGAGAUUCUGAAGAAUUAACUAUGGGAAUGUGCAAGGUCAUCUUCAAUUCACUAGUGGACCAGACACAUGGAAAAGAUGAAGGCUUUGAAUGAAGAUGCUUACAAAUGGUUAGAUAAGAUGGCUCCCAAUACAUGAGUAAGGGCUUAUUUUUCUGACUUCCCCAAAUAUGACAUUCUGUUGAACAACAACUGUGAGAUGUUCAACAGUUACAUACUAGAGGCUAGAGAGCUCCUAAUUCUUAGCAUGUUUGAGAGGAUAAAGUGUCAGCUCAUGACAAGGCACUAUAACAAGCAAAAAGAACUAGCAGAAGACUUUCAAGGAGGCUUCUUCCCUAAGAUUAGAAAAAAGGUGGCCAAAAAUGCAGAAUUUGCCAACUUAUGCUAUGCUUUGCCUUCAAGAAGUGGUAUGUUUCAUGUGCAAUUCAAGGAAUAUCAGAACAUUGUCUACAUUCAAGCUAAGAUUUGUGACUACAGAAAGUGGCAAUUGACUGGUGUGCGUUGCUGCCAUGCCAUUGCUUGUUUAAGGCAUAAGAGGAUUAGGUCUGAAUUAGUGCUUCCUAAUUACUAUUCAAUGGAAACAUUCAUGAAGGCAUAUGAGUUCAGCAUUUGGCCUUGCUAAAAGUGAGUGGGCAUGUGUCAAUGGACCAGAAGUGCUUCCUCCAGUCUAUGAGAAAAAGAUAGGCAGGGCACCAAAGCACAGGAAGAAACAACCUCAAAAAAUACAAGGGAAAUAUGGACCUAAAUUGUCUAAGCAUGGUGUCACAAUACAUUGCAAGCACUGUUCAGAGGCUUACCACAAUAGUGGCGGUUGCAGUCUGAAAAAGAUGGGGUUCACUUCAGAAGAGGAAAAAAAGCUUGUUGCAGAAACACAAGCAAGACUACAAUUAGAGACUGAACAAGCUGCUGUGGAAGCUGCUACACUUUAGUCACACAACAAGCUGCUGUUGAGCCUAUCAACCAGAACAUCACACAUGAAGAUGUUGAGGUGCCAAUGACACAAGCAAGUACAACCUUGCUGACAUAGAUGCUUUCACAAGUACAGUUUAUUUUGUCCAACCACAAGCAAUGCUACCUUCUUAACCAUGUCAAUCUAACACUUGUUUUGUAGGAUACUACUCAAUCUACAAUGCAAUACAAUCAGCCUCUUGGGCCAUUGCCUAACAGUCAAUACAUCAUCUCCAAGCAACCACUACCAAGGCCAACCCCACUGACAACAAACACCAAGGUAGGCAAGGCAGCAACAACAAAAAGGAGGAAGGCAUCCACAAGCAACAAUGAUGGUGCUGGAAAGAAGGCUAAGUCCAACACAGGAAGCAAAAGAGGAUGAAAGUCAGUAGCACCAAAGAAUCUGGGACAAGAUCAACAGAAGUGAAAGACAUGAACCACAAUCUUUUUAGUGAUGAACUUUAAUAUUUUGUGCAAGAUAUGAAAAUCUGUAUCUUGCUCUUUUGUGUAUAAUAGUGAAAGCAAAAUAGCUUUAGCCAGAUCAGGUAGCACUUAGUGUGCACUUCUAUAAAGUUAUGCAUCAAAACACUCUGGAUGCUAGUAAUCUUUAGCAAAUGGUGAAGCAUCUGCGAGCCUUUUCAUUCCAUUUCUUGUAGAAUCAACAUAACAAUGCAUUUUGUCUGAUACAUCAUACAUGACUAGUACCAAAUUCCAUUUUAACUUCUCAGUUCAGCAAAUAUAUUGCACAUGAGAAUACAACAGUACACAAUUAAAAAAAACUAGAAUUUCUUUGCCUAUUCCUACUAAAACUCUGAUCUGAACAACUAAUUCUUCUUCCAUGUACUUCUGCAUAUCUGCUUCCUUCAACUGGUUCUGCUCUUCUUCCUGGAACUUGCCAUGCUUCUUUUCUUCAUGCAACUUGUCGUGCUUCUCUUCUUCCUGCAAUCUCUUCUGCUUCUGUUCUUUCUCAGCAGCUCUAUUUCUCUCCUGUUUCUUGACCAUGUCCACAUAUUCCUCCUCCCUGAAUCAAAAUGGGCAACCACGCUAGCACGCACCAAAUCAAAGAACUCAAAUCACACUAAAUUCAAACAAAAUGACUUAAAAGCAAAUCAAGACAUAAACAUACCUUGUGAGCAGGGCACUUGUAAAAUAUGUGGCUGCGAUUCCCAUUCUUAUCAGACUUCACGGCAAACUCAAGAACUGUGUGGCGUCCACACUUAGUGCAGGUGAUGAGCGGAAGGUCAGGCCUCCAACGCCGACUUUGUCGCACGAACGAACUUGAGGUAGCCGAUUCAAGCGCCAUGGAAUUGCGGGAUCUACUGGCCGGUGUCGUCGGGAACUGCGGGGGUGGCAGGGGGCGCGGCGCAGGCAAACAGAUGGGGAUUUUGGAACCUAGGGUUAAGCCAACGAUUCAAGAUGAUUUAGGCCCUGUUUGGGAGAGGGGUGCUAAAAUUUAGCCUUGGGCUAAAAUUUAGCCCCCUCAAAUGAAAGGGCUAAAGUUUAGCACCUUGGGUGUUUGGAAAGAGGGCUAAAGUUUAGCACCUCUUCUGUAAAAUGUCCCUUUUGCCCCUGCUGUGCUGCCCCUCCCACCGUUUUCCUCUCAGCUGGAGUUCAGCAGGGGCUUCUUGGGUGGCCGCGGGGCGCAAGCCGCCAGCAGCAGCGUCGCCGGCGAGCGCGCCGAGGAGGCGGCGGAACGCGGCGGCAGGGCAGGGGAUGAGCCGGCGCGGCGCGGAUCCGGCUGCAGCGGCAGUGGCGAGGCGGACUGCUCUGGCAUCACGGUGGACCUCUCGGACGAGUCCGCCUUCGCCGUCAAGUGGGCCGUCAAGAACUACCUCCGCCCCAGGGAUGCCGUCGUGCUGCUCCACGUCCGCCCCACCUCCGUGCUCUACGGCGCCGACUGGGGCUCCAUCCCGGUCUCCGUCGACGACGAGCCCGACGCCGGCAUCGCCGAGGGCGCGGCGCGUGCCGCGGCCACCUUCGGGGAGGAGGAGACCGAGCUCGUCACGGAGCAGCACCAGAGGCGGCGGUGCCGAGGCCGGGCACCAGAUGAGGAUGGCACAUUCGAUCCGGCAGCGGCAGCGGUGGCGGGGCCGGUCGGGGCGCGGGGCGCAGCGGGCGGUGGGCGGGCAGCGCUGGUGGCGGAGGCUGUGCGGUGCGGGUGGCGGAGGCCGGGCGGUGGCGUGGCGGGCGGCGCGGGCGGCGGAGGCCGGGCGGCGGCGAGGCGGGCGGCGGGCGAGCGAGCGGUGCGGGCGGCGGCGCGGCGGGCGGCGGGCGGGCGGCGCGGGCGGCGGCGAGGCGAGCGGCGGGCGGCGGAGGUUGGGCGGCGGCGCAGCGGGCGGGCGGCGCGGGCCACAGAGGCCGGGCGCGGAGGAGAGAGAGGAGCGUGGGGGAGGAGAGAGGGGAGGGUACCGGUGGAAAAAUGGAGGAGGGGGACCACUUUUAGCACUUCUAGUCAAUUUUAGCACCUCUUGGAGGGCUAAUGGAUUAUGGGGGGCUAAAAUUUAGCCCCUCCAUUUUAGCCUAGGUGUUUGGGAGGAGGAGAGGCUAAAAGUGACUAAAAUGGGGGUGCUAAAAUUUAGCACCAUUGCAGCCACGUUGACAUUACACAUCAUCGCGGAUAACGGGUCUACACCUGCGAGCGACGCAAAUGAGAUCCAAACAGAGUUUAGGGGUCCAAAAGAGCGAUUUGUUAGUUUGGAGACCGGGGUGACACAGCUUCACAAGUUUUAGGACUAGCUGUGCACUUUCCUCAUCAAGAAAAUACUCAAAGCAAGCCCCUUAUCUAAACAUCCUGGAGCCCUAGCCCUUGUGCCAUAUGCCCAUAUCUGAUAUUGUUCGAUUAAGGCGACCCGGUGCCCCAUGCUGCACGUUUGGCCGCUCGAUCCUUUUGAUAGAGGUCGACCAGGUGUUUUGGCGUGCGGCAGUUGCGAGACCAGUGGCCCGUGCAUCCACACCUGUAGCAGAUUUGGUUGUCCUCUCUUUCCUCCAUGGCUCUCUGAUACAGGGCGACCAGGUGCUUCGCCGUGCGGCAAUUUUCAGCCAAAUGGCCCUUGCAUCCGCACUAGUUGCAAAACAUGAAUGGUCUCCCCUUGGCGUUGCCCUUGUUCCUGCUGCCGUCUCCCAGCUCCCUGCAGGCCUUUUGCAGCUGCAAUUCCACCGUGCCCCGGACUGCCUCUUCCCUCUCCAUGCUUGCUCCACUGCGCAGCAGCGGCCUGUGCUUCAGGCACAGGCAGGGAGCCCGCCGGGCGGCCGCCAUGGUUCCUCGAGAAUGAAUGGUUCUGUUUUUGUGCUGGAUGAAUCGGCUCAUGGUAGCCCUGCUUGGUCAUGUGCUGCUUCUGGAGCACAUGCUUAUUGUUACUGGCUUUCGGGGGAGCCAUGGCCUGCGAAGGGCCGGUGGCUUUCCGUCCCCUAGACGGGAUAGCAAGGUCGGUGGCGUUAUAGGCACGCCGCGUCGCGGCCAGGGAAUCUCGCCCUGCGGCGACGGCGCCCUUGCACGCGGCGACCGUCUGCAUUGCGUCGUCUGUGCUCGCGCCGGACUGAGCAACGCCGUUGCCUCUACAUGGAGGAACCGGACUCACCUCGGCGGCGGCGUCCUGGGAGCCAGCCGGUGCAAGUCGGGUGGCGUUGGAGGCGCUGUCGCGCGUGGCGGUGCGCACGCCGUCGCUCUUCUGGGCGCCAGCCUGCAGAACGUUCGGGGCGUCGCGCGUCACGGCGCCGGGUGAGCUUCUGCACACGGUGGCGCCCGCAGCGUCCUCCUGCGUCGCGGUGGCCGCGCGAGCACCGGCCCGUGCAAGGCCGCCAUUGCUACAGGCGAGAGGGAGCGGACUCACCUUGUCGGCCUUCUGAGCCUUGGCUUGCGGCGGAGACGACGCCUCCUCGUCGGCCACUGGCGCGUCCUCUUUGAACGCCUGCAUCUCCUCGGGCUCGACUAUCUCCAUCUCCACGUCGGGCACCUCGUCGUUGGGAUGCUCUUGCUUUGGUUCCACGGCCUCCACUAUGUCCAUCUCCACGUCGGGCACCUCCUCAAUGUCCUGCGGCUCCUGCUUUGGCACCUUGGCCAGCGAAAAGCUAGCGACCUUUGGAGGACUAGCCGUGCCAGAGUCAUGGGGCGUCGACGCGGGGAACUCGUGCCGAACGCCAGUGAUCUUGCUGAUGGUUUCCACGUUCGCCUGCAUCGUGACGGCAGUGAUGGCAUGCCAUUGCCGGUGCCGCGGCCAGGUCGACACGGACUUCCCUUGGCCUCGCCGCCAUCUUGUGACUGUGAGGUGUUCUUGGCGACCGCCAUGUCGUCCUGCGUCUGCAUCUUCUGGUUGGCUGCCUCCACAUCCUGGCCGCCGAUGACGGGCGCCGCGGACACUGCAGCGGAGGCUGGGAUGCGGAGGGGCGGACGACUACGUUGCAGCGGGAGCCCCCCAGUAGGCCUCGCACGGUUUGUGGCGUUCGAGGUGGCGCGACGCGGUGGCAGGUCCAGGGAGCUCCUGCAGAACGACGGCGAUCUUGCUGACGGGAACGGAAUCCACCUGCGCUGUCGCGUCCGCGCUCGCCUUCGGCUCCGCCACCACGAGGCCAUUGUCGGCGGCGGCUGGGCCUGGAGGAACCGGCCUUGACUUCGUCCCGUUGCAAUUCAUGUCCUGCAACGGAGACGCCGCCGCUGCGUGCUCAUGUAUCUUUGGCAUCUCCGCUUGGGGCUCCUGCAUGCGCGUCGCAUCGUGGUCUGCCUCCGUCUCCUGGCGGGACGUCCUCCUUUUCUUGCCUUUUCCGACGUCCACGCCGGUUGCGGCCGGAGCGAAGACGGCGGCGGGAGCUGGGGCAGGGGCAGGGGCGUGUUCGGACUUCUCGAGGGCCCGAUGCCUGUGGGCGUUACCGACGGUGGCAGCCGGCUCAGAGACGGUGGGUGGAAUCGGGACAGGGGCAUGGACGGGCGGUGAUUUUUCAAGGGCCCGCAUCGGGUCGCCGGUGGCGGACGGCAAGGCGGAGACUGCGGUCGGAGCAGGGGCAAGAGCCGGGGCGGGCCGGGACCUGUCGGGUUCCCGGAGAUGGCGGCGGCGGAGGGUGACGGAGUACUGGAGCGAGGAGAUGUAGGUGUCGAGGUCCU
rnacentral:lncRNA from 1 species